rnacentral:lncRNA from 1 species
CAAGUAAUCGCAGCCCGAAUCAACACAUGCUUCAGCAACGGGCUCACCGUAAAGACGAAACGGGCCGACACAGUUGAGAAUGAUCUUAGUCCGGGAAGCAAGGUGACGAAGUGAAGAUGGAUCGUUGGUGUCGGCGGCGAUAAUGGGAAUUUCGGGUGGCGGGUUCGGGCCGGAGGCCCAUUGUAGAGCCCGGGAAAGCCUGGAAGCGUUACGGCCUGCUAUGGCUAAGUUUUUCAAUGGGGAAGAUGAAACGUUGAGGAAUUUGAGAGCUUCUCUAAUGACGUGUUUGCCAGUAAAACCUGAAGCGCCUAAGAUUAUGACGUCGUAAGUUGGAUUUGGACUGAGUUUUUGUGACAUGGCUCGAUUGGUAAUAAUUGUAUAACAUGUUGGAUAGUAUCCAAAAUGGUCCAAUAUUUUUGGCAAAAUGGUCCUAUUGCUUUUGUAUGUAGCAUUAAUAGUCCACAUCUUUUGGUAAAGCAAAGCACUUAUGACCCAGCUUCCGUCAAUUUGUUAACGGUCUCCACGUAUAUAUGCCUCACGUUAUUUUUUUCUUUCCCGCCAAACUAAUCUCAAUGCUGCUGCUCCUCCCUGUAUUGAAGCGCAUUUAAGGCGCGCCAUAAACAGGAACAGAAUCAAAUCCACAGGCCGAAACAACCAACGAGCCAUUUUCCACAGCUUUAUCAUGGUACUUCACUUCCAUCCUCUCCAUAAACUCAGGCUCUCCACAAAUAUCCAAGUAAUCGCAGCCCGAAUCAACACACGCUUCAACAACGGGCUCGCCGUAAAGGCGAAACGGGCCGACACAGUUGAGAAUGAUCUUAGUCCGGGAAGCAAGGUGACGAAGUGAAGAUGGAUCGUUGGUGUCGGCGGCGAUAAUGGGAAUUUCGGGUGGCGGGUUCGGGCCGGAGGCCCAUUGUAGAGCCCGGGAAAGCCUGGAAGCGUUACGGCCUGCUAUGGCUAAGUUUUUCAAUGGGGAAGAUGAAACGUUGAGGAAUUUGAGAGCUUCUCUAAUGACGUGUUUGCCAGUAAAACCUGAAGCGCCUAAGAUUAUGACGUCGUAAGUUGGAUUUGGACUGAGUUUUUGUGACAUGGCUCGAUUGGUAAUAAUUGUAUAACAUGUUGGAUAGUAUCCAAAAUGGUCCAAUAUUUUUGGCAAAAUGGUCCUAUUGCUUUUGUAUGUAGCAUUAAUAGUCCACAUCUUUUGGUAAAGCAAAGCACUUAUGACCCAGCUUCCGUCAAUUUGUUAACGGUCUCCACGUAUAUAUGCCUCACGUUAUUUUUUUCUUUCCCGCCAAACUAAUCUCAAUGCUGCUGCUCCUCCCUGUAUUGAAGCGCAUUUAAGGCGCGCCAUAAAAAAAGACACAGAAUUUAGCAUCACAUAUUAGUAAAUGAUCAAAUCAUUUAUGCUUGUUAACUUGAAAUUUUUCGGAGGAACUUUUUUUUUUUUUUUACAUCAAGUUAGCUUUAUUAAUUAUGUUUUUGAAAAUAUAAAUUUGAGUUUAUAAUUGAAAAUAUAUAUUUAGUUUGAAACGAAGGGAGUAUUAGGAUUAAAGCUAAUUGUUUGGUUAGCCAAUGAAGAGAAAACUGUUAACUAAGGAGAGGAUGAUUUUAGAGAGUAGAUAUAUAUUACAGAUCACAGAUGAUGAUGGCAUUUGCUGCUUUAACUAUAUAUAUGUAUUUGCAAACUGUAGGAAGAAUUGGAGAUCUGGGACAGGCAUCAUGAUACAAAAGAAGCGGGCGGACUCUCCUGAUUAGUUGAUAGCAUAAAGGAAGGAAGUACUGGAUGAAGGUUUUAAAAUGUUUUAACUUAACAAGAUAGCCCAAAACUCCAUUUGGGAGUAGAUAAGGAGGCAUGAAAAGAAAUAAGCUACUUCCAUCGGAUCACUUUAAUUGUCGUCGUCCUUGCUAAAAAUAAUUGUUAUUUUAGAAAACUAAUUACUCAUUUAGUCCUUAAUCAUAAUUAUUCUUGGUUGUAAUAGAGUAUAUAAUUAUUGAGUAAUUAGCAUGAAAAUCUAAACGAAGAACACAUACCCAUACUCCAAUAUUCAUGUGAUUGCUUUGCUUAAAUUAACUCUCUUUAAUUUUGAGAUAUUAAAGUGAGAAUAAUUGUUGAAGAAGAAGAAUCACCUGAUGAGAGUAAACAAGAAAAUGAGAGAGUGAGGAAGAGCAACCCUUCAAAGGUUACGUAUUCUUUGUGGUUGUUUUUGGGGGGUUUUAAAUGGGGAUAGAAGGUUACAAAAUUUGGCAAGAGUGGACAAGCUCAAAUAUUUCCUAACUGAGAAUUUUGCCAGGACCAAAAAUUUAUGACUAUGAUUUAUGAACGUGCAUUAAGGCGAGAUAUUGUUUUUUCAUCAAAUUAAUUUAACUUUUCAUUUCUUUUUAUAGAAAGCUUUUUAAAAAGAAAAAAAAAAUAUUGGGGGAGGGGAUUACAAUGUGGAGAAUUGAACCCUCACCAACAAGGUGGGAGUUCACGUAACUAACCAACUAAGCUACUAAGAUUUCUCUCUUUUUUUUAUAGAAAGCAUUAACGGGUUCGAAAUUUUCAUACUUAGAAUCAAUUUUUUUUUUCAUAUUUAUCCUUAGCAUCAAUUAUUCUAGAAUUAAGUGACACGUAAAUGAGUAGAAAUUAAAGAAUUAAUAAGAAAUAUAUUGGUCAAAUUAUCCUUCUAGUAAUUUUUUCUUAACGAUUGUACCAAAAAGUAUCCUAACAACUAAAUGGAAAUGGGGGGAUUAGUAGACUAAUCUUUUUAGUAAUAUUUUGAAACUCUAAAUUUGAUUACUAUUACUUUGUGUGGUUAUUUAAUAUUAAGGGUAGUAUGAAAAACAAAACCAAACUCUUAAUUUACUAAAAUGAACAAAUAAAAAAAUAUUUUACGUAUAAAGGCCGAAUUUAAAAUAAAAAGGAGAGAGUAAAUACAUAUUUAACAUAUUGGUACAAUACAAUUUUUUCAGUAAUGGGUGUUAAUUAAACAAGAGGGACCAAACUGUGCAGCACUAAAGUAGUGCAAUGGAAAUGGACCCGAAAUAUUUAAAACUAGGUUCCUUUUACUCUAUAAAAUUCAAUAGCAAUAAGAAGGUAUAAAUACAUACGCAGGGUGGUCCAUGUGCUAUCGAGUUCAUCUCAACUCAAUACUUUUGAAGUGGGUAUAAAUUAAUGAAUAAAAUUUAAUAAAAUUAAAAUAAAUAGUAGAUAUGAACUCACAAUUUUAAAAUCAUAACAAGAGAUAAAUGAUUAAGAACCUUAAAGAUUGAACCUGUAGAGUUGAAAUCUUUAAUCCGCCUCUAUACAUAAAUAUAUUCAGCUCAGAUAAUCAAUGAGCAAGCAAAGCUGUCAUAGAAGAGUCUCAGUUUAAUUUUUGCUGCUUAGUUAAAUUCGUCAAUGGUAGUUGAAUCGAUCUCAAAUUAAAUAUAGUUUGGAGGCUAUGUUUUUUUUAAAACUAUUUUACCUUCAUCCAUGCCUUAAGAUAUAAUCUGUUUUUCAUUAAGUAUUUAUUUUAUUGAGAUAUUUAUAGUCUUCAAAAAUAAUUACUAUAAAAAAUAAAAUAGAAAAAGAUAAUUAAUUUCGUCUUGAACUUCUAACAUCACAAAAUGAAUAAUUUGAGGUAACUAUUUUUAGAAAUUAAGGCAAACAAUUUGGGAUGGAAGGUGUAAUUUGCACAGCCAACGGCCACAUACAGGACCUCAACCCCCACUUUACCAAAAUAAUUAUUAAUACGUAUUAAAUUCAAUCAAGUCUCGAAUCAGUAGGAGUAAUUACUACUACUAGGUUAGGUACAGUGUAGAAUUACAUAUAUGUCAUUCAGCUAUUUUUUAAUUUUUUUUUUUAAAAAAAAGGCAAGCGUGACAAAGAUUAUAUUUCCAAUAAAACAUGCAGAAGAAAUAGAAAACUUUGGACUUAAAAAAAAGUGAUUAUAUAAGAAGUCUCAUCUCCUUAAUAAUGCAGUAAUCUUAUUAAAUGGCACCAUAAUUAUUGCUUGAGCGAAAGAAGAAUGAAACCUUGACAUAUACUACAAUGCAUAGAUACAUGAACUACCACCUCUAUGGAACACAAAGACGUCAUUUUUAAAAAAUAAUGAAACGUUAUAAUUUUGGCUCUUUUAGUUAAACCAAAAAAUUAAAGAAAAAAACUUAAUUAUGUAAGAAGAGUUGAAAAAAAAUUGCUAGGCUGACGGAUUGACACGUAAGUUACAAGUUUGGAAGUACCCAAACUAAAGCAUGUUAUUGCAUCUCUUAAUUGAUUUUGAAUUUACACUUGAAUUCAAGUGCGUCUUACAAGUAGUAGUAGUAAUGAAUAUGGGUAGCUGAAAGUUUUAAUGGAAUGUAACCUACAACAAUCAGCUUUAUAAUACUCCCUCCGACACAUAUUUUAAUUGUAUGUGUAAAAGAAAAAGUAGACAACUAAAAUAGGAUUAAAUGCAAGCAAGUCUUGGUCCAAUAGGUGGUGUUACAAAGACCCGAAAAGCUCCACAGAUCUAUGACUUUUUUGAUCAUCUUCAAUCAUGGGUUAUGAUGUGACUAAAAUCUCUUGCAUAGCAACUUAAUAUUACUUUUGAGGUCUCUUAAGCCUGUGUAUGGGGUUAUAAUUUAUUUUUUAUGUUUUAUUUCCUGCAUAUGAGGGUAAUUUUGAAGCCAAUUACCGUUGGAAACGUUGUAAAAAGUAAAAUCUAAUAACCUGAUGAUCAUUGUUAUAUUCUAGGCUUCCUCAAAAAAUCCAAAAGCCUUCCCAAUCACCAUGUAUAAUUUAAUAUGCUAAAAAUUGAUUCCUUUACUGUUCCUCAAACUACCAAACAAGCAUAUGAAAGCGAUCAACUACCUAAUUGUACUAAACUAUUCGCAUUUUGUUUUCACUUCUCCUUUGAAUUCGACACAAUGUCAUCUGCACCAUACCUUAAUCAUUAAAAAACAUCUAGCUAGUCAUUCUGUUUCUGCAUAAAUCACUCUCCAAUUCAUCCAUUUGCACCAGUCAUCGAGAUGUCUAAUUCUAUCGUCAACUCUGCAAAGCCAGUACAUAUAUUAUUUCUCCCUAGUGGUCUGGGAGUGGGACAAAUGGUUCCAUUUUUUCGACUAGCUUCCAUGUUAGCUUCACAGAAAUGUAAAAUCACCUUUAUCAUCAUGCAGCUUGAAAUAUCUACCACAAAGUCGAGUUUCAUCUCCAACUAUUUCGCCGAUCACCCAGAAAUCAAUCGACUAGAUUUUCAAAUUCUUCCCUUGAAUACAUCAACCUUUCCAAUCAAUGAUCCAUUCAUCAUGCAAAUUGAUGCUAUUAGUAACUCGCUUCACCAGCUCGGCCCUCUCGUGUCUUCUUUGAAUGAACCAGUUUCUGCUAUUGUCUCUGACUUUAUUAUUGCAUCUAGUCUUUCACAGAUUGCUAAUAAUCUCAACAUUCCUCUUUACAAUAUCUCCACAACAUCAGCUAAAUUUUACUCGAUUGUGGCAUACCUUCCUGUACUGUUGUCCAAAGAUCCUGCUGCAUUUAAGUACUGCUCGAGCAAUCUUGAGAUCCCAGGUUUAGGAUCAGUUCCAAAAUCAAGCAUCCCUCGUUCUUGGAUGGAUGAUUCACCAUUGAGCUAUGUAUUGAAAGCCUACUUACUGCCAAAUGCUCGAGCUCUUCCUCAAGUGACUGGCGUCUUUCUGAACACCUUUGACUGGUUUGAACCAGAAACAAUUGCUGCCCUUGAUGAUGGAAGAGUAACCAGUUCUCUUCCUCUUGUUUUUCCUGUUGGUCCUAUGGAAGAUUACAAGCUAGGAGAAGACACUCAGUGUUCAUGGUUAGAUGACCAACCUGCUGAAUCAGUUGUAUAUGUUAACUUUGGAACUAGAGAGCCGAUUUCUUCACAACAACUAAGAGAAAUAGGAAAAGGACUAGAGAUAUGCGGAUAUAAGUUUCUAUGGGUGCUGAAAGAAGAGCAUCUAGAGUUGUUUGGGAAUACAGUCCUGGAAGAGAUGGAAAAGAAAGGGAAAACAGUGAAACCAGGCGAUUAUGAGGAAGCUAUUAUGAACCAUACAGCUAUUGGACUUUUCAUGAACCAGUGUGAAUGGGAUUCAGUGAUGAAUGCAGCUUGGUCAGGAGUGCCAAUACUGGCAUGGCCACAUCAUGGUGAUCAAAAGUUGAAUGCAGAAAUUGUAGAGAAGGUAGGAUUGGGGAGGUGGGUAGAAGAAUGGGGUUGGGGUGAGGAAAAUCUAGUGAAUGGUCGGGAGAUUGCCGAAAUGGUGAAAAACUUUAUGGGAGAUGUUAAUAUGAAGGUAAACGCUCUGAAAGUGAGGGAACAAGCUAGAAAAAUCAAGGGAAUUGGAGGGAGCUCUGAGAAGAGGCUAAGGAAAUUCAUCAAAGCAUUAAAGGCAGAACAAAAAUGAUGUACCUUGACACCAUUCUUGGAAGGUUGUCAUCAACUAUAUUGCUCGGACUCUCCAAAAAUGCAGCUACACCCGAGUCAGAUCCUUCAAAUAUGCACUACUUUUGGAGGAUCCGUCAAGCACCUACUGGAAUUUUUGAAGAGUCGGAGCAACAUAGGUUAUCAACACUUCCUUUCAGUUGUUGAUCCUCUGGUUGUAAAAAUAAUUGUUAAUUGGAGCCUUCUUGUUAAAGUCAAAAGAUUGUGGCCCGUCAACACAAAGAAGUUGGAACACAAUAAGAAUCAAUGCAGUCAGCUGUAGCAGUGUUAUAGGUGUAAACUGGAAGCUCCUGAUAUCGGAGAUCCACAGGAGUUUAACAUACCUAAAAAUUGUUAAACGAAAUAAAGCUUAUCCAGUAAUCUAAAAACGUUAAGAGAAAGAAAAAUGGCCACGGAUACAAGAUUUAAUCCUGGAAAGAAAAAUGUUGACAAAGCACCUGAAGGCAUUAAGAAACAAUAACAACAACAACAACAACCCAGUAUAUUCCCACACAGUGAGGUCUGGGGAGGGUGAAACGUACGCAAUCCAUACCGCUGCCUCCGAAGAAGUAGAGAGGUUGUUUCCGAUAGGCCCCUGGGGCUCAAGAGAGAGAAUAGUAUAGCAAGGUUGUAAUGCAACUCGAAACAGGAUGUAUAAAUAAUAACAGUAAAUAUUAAGGAAAUACAAAAUAAGUAAAGUACAAGCAAUAUGAAAUAAGAAAUAGGAAAACGGAUACUCUCCUAGUAGUAAGCAAUACACUCACAGACCUAAGAGGACUACCACCCCCACACUCUCCUAACACCUAGCCCCAACCCACACACUCACACUAGCCUUCAACCCUAAUCCGCGACCUCCACACCUUCCUGUCUAGGGUCAUGUCCUCAGUAAGCUGCAGUUGCUCCAUGUCAUGCCUAAUCACCUCCCUCCGGUAUUUCUUUGGCCUAUCUCUAUCCCUCCUGAAGCCAUCCAAAGCUAGUCUCUCAUACCUCCGAACAGAGGCAUCCGUGCUCCUCCUCAUCACAUGCCCAAACCAUCUCAACCUGCCUUCUGUCAUCUUGUUCUCCACCGAAGUCACUCCCACCUUCUUUUGGAUAAUCUCAUUCCUGACUCUAUCCCCUAUAGUGAGACCACACAUCUAACGCAACAUCCUCACUUCCGCCACCUUCAAUCUCUGGAUAUGGGAGUUCUUGACUGACCAACAUUCAGCUCCAUACAGCAUGGCCGGACGGAAUGCCACUCUGUAGAAUUUGCCCUUAAGCUUAAGGGGCACCUUCCUAUCACAUAACACUCCCGAGGCGAGCCUCCACUUCAUCCAACCUGCUCCAAUACGCUUAGAGACAUCCUCCUCAAUCACGUCAUCCCCCUGAAUCAUAAACCCAAGAUACUUAAAACUAUCUUUCUUACAAACAUCCUUAUAGUCCAACCUCAACACCACACCGUCCUCCGGACUCGAGUCACCGAACUUGCAUUCCAAAUACUCCGUCUUAGACCUACUCAACCUGAACCCUUAGAUUCCAGAGUUUGCCUCCAAACCUCCAAUUUCUUAGUCACACCCUCCCUUAUCUCAUCAAUCAGCACUACAUCAUCCGCAAAUAACAUACACCACGGCACCUCACCUUGAAUACUCCGCGCCAACACGUCCAUCACCAACGCAAAAAGGAACAGGCUAAGAGUCGAUCCCUGGUGCAAACCUGUCUCUACCGGAAAAUGCCAUGAGUCUCCUCCCGCCGUCCUCACCCGACUUUUCCCUCCAUCGUACAUGUCCUUAAUAGCUCUGAUGUACGCCACCUGCACUCCUCUCACCUCCAAGCAUCUCCAAAAAACCUCCCUAGGGACUCUGUCAUACCGCCUUCUCCAGAUCGAUAAACAUCAUGGGCAAAUCCCUCUUCCUUUCCCUAUACUGCUCCACCAAUCUUCUCACCAGGUGAAUUGCUUCCACCAAUCUUCUCACCAGGUGAAUUGCCUCUGUCGUCGAGCGACCAGGCAUAAAACCAAACUGAUUCUCUGAAAUGGACACGACCCUCCUCAAUCUCCGCUCAACCACCCUCUCCCAAAUCUUCAUAGUGUGACUCAACAGCUUAAUUCCCCUAUAGUUAUUGCAACUGUGAAUGUCACCCUUGUUUUUAUACGAAGGAAUCAUCGUACUCCAUCUCCAAGCCUCAGACAUUCUCGCAGUAGUGAAAAUGGCGUUGAACAAAUCAGUCAGCCACCUUAAGCCUGCCCCACUAGCAUACUUCCAAAAAUCCACCGGGAUCUCGUCGGGCCCCGUCACCCUACCACUCUGCAUUCUACGAAUAGCCUCUCUGACCUCCACAACCUUAAAACGUCUCCAGUAACUGAAAUCGCGGCUCUUCUCCGAGCGCUCCACUCCCCUAACACAAUGCCUCUGUCCCCUUCCUCGUUUAAAAGCCUAUGAAAAUACUCCUGCCAUCUCUUCUUAAUGUGAACAUCUUUCACCAACACUCUACCUUCCUCCCCCUUAAUGCACUUCAUUUGAUCGAGGUCACGACCCUUCCUCUACCUAGCCUUAGCAAGCCAUACAACCUUUUUUCCCCGCCUUUCUCCUCUAACCCGCAUACAAACCCUCAAAUGCUGCUGUCUUAGUCGCCGUAACUGCUAAAUUAGCCUCUUUCCUUGCUACUUUGUAGACCUCCCUAUUCACCCGCUUCUCCUCUUCAUCCUUACUCUCAAUCAACUGAACAUACGCCCCCUUCUUGAUCUCCACUUUCUUGUUAACUUCCUCAUUCCACCACCAGUCCCCCUUAUGUCAUCCUGCUCGACCCCUCGAAACACCCAACACCUCUCUAGCCGCCUCCCUGAUGCAGUUGGCCGCCUUAUUUCCCACAUAACAUCCACGUCCCCCCUACACUCCCACACCCCCAUUAAGAAAGCAUAUCAAAAUUUACGAAAACAGUCGGAAGAAACAAUGCAAUUAAAGCAAAAGUAAUUAGUUUCAUUUUCCCUUAGGAAGAAGUUCAGGUUUCCCCAUGCGACUAAAAGGGCACAAACAUUAAGUUAGACAGUAUUCUUUGAAAUAACAUCAAAAGAUAUUCCAUUCUGUUGAAGCAUGUCUUGGAGGUCUGUUGGUCCAAACACGAUCCCGGGCGGUAAAACACCUCCCUUUGGAAGAUUGUGUCGUUCCUUGAGCAAAAUGAGAGCACACUGGACUAGAAUGAUCGGAGUUGUCAAAUAACCAACCUCAGGUCCCAUUACUCUUGUAAUUAUCUCCGUAUCAGGCUUCCUGUUUCCUUGAGAUGCAAGACUGCCAUCGCUAAACCCGUGUCCGACAAACCACAUCUUAAAGGUAGCACUUGCCACUUCAUCUUCAGUUGGACCUUUUUUCCUGAACCAUCCAAGACUGAACAAUGAAGGGAAUUUCAAUAGCAGCCACCUCCCUAUACCAAUUUUAGCAAAGAGACCAAUGAACACACCAACUGUAAUGAAACGAACAACACCUAAUACAGAUUUUGAAGCUAUCUUCACACUGAAGUGAGCUGGUUUUAUGCUUGACCAAAAUGCCUCCCUCCUCUCAACAUGUUCAGUGCUUUCAUUAACACCUGGUAAACCAUUAGGAUUUUCAGCCAAACAUGAAAGUGUUCUUCGGACUACAAUGGCAUCUGCUGAUGGUAACUUUACAGCCCAAACGCCAAUUUCCUUUUGGUGGUCCAUCAACGGACCAUUAGGAGGACGAGGACCAGGAAUCUAAGCAAACAGAAAAAUGUUAGAGAGAGAGAGAGAAUAUGUUUCACAGAUCUAAUGUGUUAUUUGAUAGAGAAAACACUGACAUAUACUGUCCCCACAGCAGCAUGGUACGUAGUAUGGCUUUGUGCAAUGAUUAAUCUAGCAAAUGUAGCAGGUAUCAAAUAAGCCCAUCUCUAACAACAAAUCUCUAUUAAAAGUACGCUUGUAAUAAAAAAGUUGAUCCCUGUCAUACACGGAUUCAGUCUAUCUAUCAUAAGGUUAUGAAUUUCUACCAUUACUCAUCAGCGCCAUCACAUAUCGACUACGACACACAUUUUAUGGAAAGAGUUAAAUUGGCUCUCAAAGAUCCUCAUAUAAAAUAAUUUUUAUAAUCAUGCAAUCAUUCUGUAAAAUGAGGAAAAGAACCUUAAUAUGAUUGACUUUGGACUUUGAUUGCAGUUUACACCUUCAAAGACAUACUGAUUAAUUGACUUCUAAUUUGUAAAGACAAAUUGCUUCUUAACCUACAUUACUCCUCCAGUGAAACAAAAGAACAGUGAAACUAGAAUACUUCUAAAGAAUUGACGUGUAUGACUGUGUCAAAACUUCCGAGGACGGAGCAUACUCCUGCACCUUUUCUCCAUAUCUUUUCUAGGUAGCAUUACACUUCCACAGUAUUUAGGUCUAAUUCCAUUACUCUUUCUCAAUACUGAUGCAAUCUUUUCAAGACAAAAUCACUUCUCAUUAAGCAUCAACUCCACAACCUAUCUACCAUCAUUCCUGCCACUUAAUUAGCCGACCACAGGACCAGACUGCAUCAGAUAGUUGUUGGCCGUAUCAAGUAGACUGAUGUAUUCAUGAAACUACAUGUACAUAUAUGUAUGUGAAUGGCUUCAUAGAAGAAGAAAUGAGUGAAGCAUAAAUCUGGAAGUUUUCACAGCAGUAAUCAAUGUUUAAUACCACUCACAGAUUGGUUCAGCUUAUAUUCAUCCAAUAUCCCAUGACACAAGAUUUAAGUGUCAAUCAGUUAAAAUCAGAGAGGGAUGUAUUGAUUGAGAAGCACACUCCGAGUAUAUCAGUUUCAAUUUCUUCUGAUAUGGCUAAGUAGUGGACAACUUAAAUUUACUUAAAAUUUUCUCCACAGAAAAUGCAAAAUUGCCGGAUACCCUGAAUAGGGAAGCCAGAUACAAAUGUAUAAUCAACACAUAAAUAUUAAGUUAUAUUUUUUUCCCGCAUGAGUCGUGUAAGGUUCUCUUUUGUUGAUAACUAUGGUGUCUAGGUGAGCUUGCGAUGGGUAACUCUGUCCACCAAGGUUUGGAUAGAUGGGAAGAAAUUACCUAGUGUUUUUGCCUCCGAUGGAAUUUGAACUGAGACCUCAUGAUUCUAAACCUACUACAUCGACCACCAUAUCUUUGGGUGCAACGUGCAAGGCUUUCAAGGGGUUCACGGAAUCACAGGCUACUCCACACAUAGCCUUAAGGUUUGGUGUCCGGUACUCAUAUUCUCUAACAUUAUACACAGUGGCACAGUCAACAUUUGACAAGUUCAUUCUCAAACUCACAAUCCCAGCUGAAGUUCACACAACCUCAAAAUCGGGUUGCACACAUGGGAGGGGUCAAUCUAUACUUGUUUCCUUUCUUACAUGAGCUAUCUAAUGGCUAUUAAGAAGCUUCUAACAGUCUUUGCUCUUGCAUUUGCAUCUAUAUCCAUUAAUUUUUCGCGCGAAAUGCUCAUUUUCAAUUCAAUCCAAGAUCAUCAAUAACAAUAUGAAAUGGAACCUACCAACAUAAAGAAAAUGCUUACCACAGGACGAGGCCUCUUUGGUCUGUUCCGUCUUAACUCCAGUAAUUUAUCCGCAUUAGCCACGCCAAGCACCGCUGAUUCAUACGUUGCAAAGUUUCCAACAAUUCUCUUAUCCGAUUCUAAACUAACGUAAGCCUCAACCGAAUUAGGAACAGCCGGGGACAACCACUGCCUUGAAUUGAACGAACAGAAUCAAACCCACAAGCCGAAACAACCAACGAACCAUUUUCCACAGCCUUAUCAUGAUACUUCACUUCCAUCCUCUCCAUAAACUCAGGCUCUCCAGAUAUAUCCAAGUAAUCGCAGCCCGAAUCAACACAUGCUUCAGCAACGGGCUCACCGUAAAGACGAAACGGGCCGACACAGUUGAGAAUGAUCUUAGUCUGGGAAGCGAGGUGCCGGAGAGAAAACGGGUCGGUUGUGUCGGCGGCGAGGAUUGGGAUUUGGGGUGGUGGGUUUGGGCCGGAGGCCCAUUGUAGAGCCUGGGAAAGUUUGGAAGUGUUACGGCCAGCUAUGGCUAAGUUUUUCAAAGGGGAAGAUGGAACGUUGAGGAAUUUGAGAGCUUCUCUAAUAACGUAUUUACCAGUAAAACCUGAAGCACCUAAGAUUAUCACGUCGUAUGUUGGAUUCUGAGACAUUUUUGUUGGAUUUGUUUAUCGAUUUUGGGUUAAUGGAAGGGAAGAGUGUUGAUCAGACAGUUGGACUUUGAAGACGAAGAGAACAAGGAGAACUAGAAAUGUGUGCCGUAACUGCGAGAUUCCCUGAUUCGGUCUCCUGUAUACCCGAAGUCUGCUGUUUCUUAUUACUCCCUUCGUCUCAAAUUAAGAUAACAUAAUAAUUAAAAAAAAUAAUUAAUAACAUAUUUAAUUUAUCAUAGUAUUAUUAUAUUUAUAUUUUAAUUUAAAAAAAUAAUUAAUACAAACGAUAAAAUAUAAAGAAAAAAAUAUAUUUUUUCUUGAUUAUUGAAAAAAAAUAAGUAAAAUGAAAAAUCAAAAUAGAAAAUUUGAAACGGAUGAAAUACUUUUUUGUUAGUCCUCGAAAAGAUAAAUACUUUUUUUUGUAUGUUUUUAAAAUAUAAUAUUAAAAUAUAUUUUAAUAUAUUUAACAUAAUUUUAAUUUAAAAUAUAAUUUUUAUUUUAAAUUUUAUGUCAAAUCAAAAUAUAUAAUUCUUUUUAGAACGGAAAAGGUACAGGUGUUUUUUUCAGUUACACAGUAAACCAAUACAGGGACUCUUUGCACUAAAACUUCAAUCAACAUUAUGACUAUGUAAACCACAAAAUGCAAUUUUUUAUUGAUUACAACUGUGAGCUGGAAACUACUGGAUUAAGUCAAGCGUGUUGCCUCAAACCCAAGGAUCGUUUGGUAGAAUGUAUUUAAAAAAAUAAUAUAUAUAUUAGUUAAUGUGUAUUAUUUAUAUUUUAUUUGGUAUAUUUUUUAUUUUAUGUAUAACUAAUAUUUACAUUAAUUAUACACUCUAUAGUGUAUUAGUAAUAUCACUUAUUUUCUAUGUAUUAAUAAUACAAAGCCUUCAAUACUUACAUUGACUUAUUAAAUGAUAAAUUUACCCCUCAAAAUAUUUUUUUUCUUCUUAAUCAAACAUUAUUUUUUCUUUUUCUUUUUUUUUUUCAACUUUUUUUGCUCCGAUCUGUAGCCGCUGCUACUUUCUUUUUGUUUAUCACCAUUUUUAACCUCAACAUUUUCAUGUAUGAUCAUCGUGUAGAUUUUUCUUGUUAAUUGAUUUUGUUUUGUUUGAAUUUUGCAAAAGUUGGAGAAGAGAUGUUGGACAUCAUGUCACCUCCAUUUGUUUUAUUUUAUCUCCCAUUUUUUCUUGGUUGAGCUUUGUCUCGUCGAUGCUAGCAUAAGAAUUAUCUGUAUGUGUAAUUAUAUCAUCAAAUAGAAGGAUAAUGCUUCCAUGGAUAUUUCAUUUCUACAAUAGCAGCUACUUACUUCUAAGCUUGAAAGAGAGUAUACAAAGAAGGGUACUUUAGUAAAUAAAAAUCGUUUUAUAAAAAAUAUAUAAAUAUUUAUUAUAUUUAAUACAUCAAAUCAAACACUGUAUAAAAAUAAUAUUUGUAUAACUAAUACCAGUAUUACUAAUAAACAUUACUAAUACACCUUAUUCAGCAUUAUUCUUACACCUUGUACCAAACGACCCCCAAUAAAAUGUACUUGUGGAAAAAAUUAUUUGUAUAUAUUUUACUUUUUUUUUUAAUGAAAUGAUGUAGUUGAAGCAGGCAUAUCUUAAAUAUCUAUUUUAUUUUUUGAUUAAAUACUAUUAUUUUUUAUUAUGCAAUGACUUAUAAUAAUUAAUUAGGGAUAAUAUAAUAAAAUCAUGAUUGAAGCAGUUAAAACAAACAUGUCAACCACAAGUUUUCUGCUUCGGCAGUUUCAUCCACACUUAUUAAUAAUAGAAAUAGAACAAAAUGAUCUUGUUUUGUUCUUCGAUUGAGAAGAGAUGUCUCGAGCAAUUGGAAGUUCUUUGAUAAACAAAAAGAAAAUUGUUUUUGAUUAGUAGGUGGUGGUUUGGGGGUGAAGAUCGAGGAAAAUUUUUAUUUUGCAUGAGAUAUGCCAACUCAUACUUGUACGAGGCAUUCUCUUAUUGACAAGUGAACUUUAGUGGGUCCUAUUUACAAGUAAAAAAUUUAUGUCUUUUUCUACUACAUUUAUCUCUUUUUCCAUGUUCUUUUAUUUUCCAAUCACUUUCCAAAAUAUUUUAUUUUUCUAUUUUAUUGUAUGCCUUUUGAAGAGAUUUUACGAAAUGUGUUUAUGUAUCAUUUUUGUGACAGAAUUUAGAAUAUUUUUGAAUUCAAACGUUUAAAGUUAGAGAAUACUUUUUGAAAUUUUGGUUAGCGGACCUAAUUAUUUGUUUUUUUUUUUCUUUCAGUUAGUUUUGAUUGAUUUUUUGUGAUCGGUAUAUGAAUUUAAAGUAGAUUUUUUUUUUAAAGUUAAGUGAAAUUAUUCAUACUUUGAUUUGGAUUGAUUUUGGUUAAAAUCAAAAAUUAAAAUAAAAAAAUAAAUCAAUUUAGUUAAUUUUAAUUAUUUAAAUUAAAUUAAAAAAUAUUUUAUACAUUAUUAGAUUGAUUGUAGUUUUAAUUUGUUUUUUAAUUUUUUAGUAAGGAUAUUUAUCUCCUUUUCUUCUACCAUUAGCAACGAAAUUUCAUUAGUUUUUUUGGUUUCCCAAGGUAUCCCCAUAGCCGGCAGCCGUGAGACUAAUCCUUCGUUUCUCGAUCAGCGCACUAAGCGGUAGGAAAUUGACCAAAGAGUUUGCUCUGUUCACCAGAAGCAGGGAUCGAACCCUCGACCUCUUGCUUAAGGGACAUAGUGCUGAACCACUAUGCCAACUCUAGUGGUUGAAAUUUCAUUAGUUGCUAACUUGUAAUCAUGAACAAUUUUUUUUUAUUAUGAUGGCUAUAAUUAUUUUGAAUUAUGAUUAAUGUCUUAAUAUCUGUAAAUGUUAAUUAAGUGAAUAGAUUUUAUAAAAAAGUAUAAAGAUAUCUAAGCAAAAAUCUCAAAAUAUAUAUUGUGAUUCAUGUAUUUUUUUUUUAAAAUGUAUAUAUAUAUAUAUAUUGUGAUUCAUGUAUUUUUUUAAAAAAUGUAUUUAAGUCUAAAUUUAUUAGUCCAUGAGAAUAAAAUUAAAGUAAUAAAAUUCUGAUGGAACAUUAUGUAAAAUAUUUUAAAAUAAUUUAUAAAAAUUGAUACAUUUCCUAUUUCAUACAAAUAAUUAUAAAAUUAGUAAACUCAAAGAUUAUUAUUUUAUAAAAUAUUAAUAUUAAAUCAAAUAAAACUAAAAGUAUAUAAAUUUAUUUUAUUAAUUUACUUUUUAUUUAGUUUAAUUUUAAUCAAAUUACGAAGAAAUUAAAAGCUGAAAGGUGAAACUAUAAAAUAAUUUAAAGAAUUAUAGUCUGCGUUAGUAACAUUGACGAAAGAAGAAAAUGAGAAAAAAUAUUGAAAGAAGGCAGCAAGAAGAAAAGAAGAAAAGAAGAAAAGUGAAUGGGAGAAUUGAUAUUAUAGUGUGUCCCACAAUUCUUGUAUGUUCUCUCCUUCUUGAUAGUUUAAAUUGACAAGUGGAUCCCAUAAUCUGUGUCAAAAAAAUAAUGGAAACUCGUACAACUAGUGGCUGUCACGUAAUAAGUGUAUCUCAUACAGAGUAAAACUUUUUGAGGGUUAGAGUACGAACAAGUUUAUAAAAUAAUUUUAAAAAAUAAAUUAAAAAAAUUGUGGUGAGGUUUGAUUGGGGUGGGGUCGGGUUAAGGUAGAAGGGUGGGGGAGCGAGACUUGUGGAGUGGGAGUUAAAUAAUAUAAGUAGAGGAUAAAAUAAAAUUAUAUAAUAUUAAGUAAGGACAUAACUGAAAAAAAAAAAAAAAGUAAAUCAGUGAUACACCAAAUUAGUGAUUACAUAUAAUGAGGAUUUUCAUGAUUAUCAAACUAUACAAUUAAACCAUAUCAUACAUUUUAAGAAAUAAUCAAAACAAACAUUAUUCUCUUAAUAAUUAUACAUGACAUACCAUGGAAACCACCAUCCAAACAUUAAGUUAGACAGUAUUCUUUGAAAUAACAUCAAAAGACAUUCCAUUCUGUUGAAUCCUGUCUUGGAGGUUUGUUGGGCCAAACACAAUCGAUCCCAGGUGGUAAAACACGUCCCUUUGGAAGAUUGUGUCGUUCCUUGAGCAAAAUGAGAGCACACUGGACUAGAAUGAUGGGAGUCUCAGGCCCUAUGACUCUUGUAAUUAUCUCCGUAUCAGGCCUUCCUGUUUCCUGGUGAUGCAAGACUGCCAUCGCUAAACCCGUGUCCGACAAACCACAUCUUAAAGGUAGCACUUGCCACUUCAUCUUCAGUUGGACUUGUUUUCCUAAAUCAUCCGAGACUGAACAAUGAAGGGAAUUUCAAUAGCAGCCACCUCCCUAAACCAGUUUUACCAAAGAGAUCAAUGAACAUACCAACUGUAAUGAAACAAACAACUCUUAACACAGAUUUUGAAGCUAUCUUCACACCAAAGUGAGCUGGUUUUAUGCUUGACCAAAAUGCCUCCCUCCUCUCAACAUGUUCGGUGCUUUCAUUAACACCCGGUAAACCAUUAGGAUUUUCAGCCAAACAUGAAAGCGUUCUUUGGACUACAAUUGCAUCUGCUGAUGGUAACUUUACAGCCCAAACACCAAUUUCCUUUUGGUGGUCCAUCAACGGACCAUUAGGAUGACAAGGACCAGGAAUCUAAAGCAAACAGAAAAAAGUUAGAGAGACAGAGAGAGAGAGAAUGCAAAAGUUGUCGGAUACCCUGAAUUCGGGAAGCCAGAUACAAAUUUAUAAUCAACACAUAAAUAUUAAGUUAUAUUUUUUUUCAUGCAUGUGUCGUGUAAGGCUCUUUUUUGUUGGUAACUAUGGUGUCUAGGUGAGCUUGCGAUGGGUAACUCUGUCCACCAAAGUGUAGACAGAUGGGAAGAAAUUACCUAGUGUUUUUGUCUCAGCUGGAAUUCGAACUGAGACCUCAUGAAUCAUCGACCACCAUAUCUUUGGGUGCAACGUGUGUAAGGCUUUCAAGGGGUUCACAGAAUCACAGGCUACUCCACACAUUGCCUUGAGAUUUAGUGCUGGGUACUCAUAUUCUCUAGCAUGGUACCACAGUGGCACAGUCAACAUUUGACAAGUUCAUUCUCCAACUCAUAAUCCCAGUUGAAGUUCAGAUAACCUCAAAAUUGGGUUGCACACAUGGAAGGGGUCAAUUAAUACUUGUUGUCCUUACCUACAUGAGCUGUCUAAUGGCUUUCAAAGAAGCUUCUAAUAGUCUUUGGCUAUUGCAUUUGCAUCUACAUCCUAUAAGUUUUGGGGUUAACUGCUCACAUCCAAUUCAAUCCAACAUCAUCGUUCAUCAGUAUCAAAAUGAAAUUACCUACCAAAUGAAACAAGAUCUUACCACAGGACGAGGCCUCUUCGGUCUAUUCUGCCUUAGCUCUUGUAAUUUAUCAACACUAGCCUCACCUAGCACAGCUGAUUCAUACGACGUAAAGUUUGUAACAAUUCUUUUAUCUGAUUCUAAACUAAGGUAGGCCUCAACCGAAUUAGGAACAGACGGGGACAUCCACUGUCUGGAAUUGAACAUAAACCCCAAUUCAGAAGGAACAGAAUCAAAACCACAAGCUUAAACAACCAACGACCUAUUUUCCACAGCCUUAUCAUGGAACUUCACUUCCAUCCUCUCCAUAAACGCAGGCUCUCCACAUAUAUCCAAGUAAUCGAAGCCCGAAUCAACACAUGCUUAAACAACGGGCUCACCGUAAAGACGAAACGGGCCGACACAGUUGAGAAUGAUCUUAGUCUGGGACGCGAGGUGACGAAGUGAAGAUGGAUCACUGGUGUCGGCGGUGAGGAUGGGAAUUUCGGGUGGCGGGUUCGGUCCGGAGGCCCAUUGUAGAGCCUGGAAAAGUUUGGAAGAGUUACGGCCAGCUAUGGCUAAGUUUCAAUGGGGAAGAUGGAACGUUGAGGAAUUUGAGAGCUUCUCUAAUAACGCGUAAAACCUGAAGCGCCUAAGAUUAUCACGUCGUAUGUUGGAUUCGGAUUGAGGUUCUGAGACAUUUUUGUUGGAUUUGCUUAUCGAUUUGGUUAAUGAAAGGGAACAGUAGUGUUGAUCAGAGAGUUGGACUUCGAAGGUGAAGAGAACAAGGGAACUACAAAUGAAAACAACGAUUAAAUUAAGUGGGAGGUGAUAAAAAGUCUUCAAAUUAUAAAUGGUGCUAAGGUAGAAACUUUAAAAAUGGUCAUAACUUUAAUCAAUUAAGAUCAAAAUUUUAUUUAAAUUAUAAUUAAAUUAAUUGGAAUGUAAAGUAUAAUUUUUAAAAAGAUUUAAAUUUUUUUAAAAAUUCAUUCAAUUUCAAAUUUCAAACUUUAGCGUUUCUCUUUGUUUUUUUUUUAUCUUUCAAUCUUUCAUCUUCUUUUUCUUUCUCUCCAUUUUCUUCUUCUUAUUUUGUUCUCUCUCUAUAUUUUCCUCUUCUUUUUUUUUUCUUUCUCUUUUCAUUUCGUUCUUCUUUUUUUUAAUUUUCAUGAUUUUUUAAAAAAAUUUUAAAAGUUUGAAAAGAAAUUUUUUGAUUUCUUUUAAAAAUAAAUGAAGAAAUAAUUUAGCAAAUUCAGCAACUAUGAGAGUUAUUUCAUCAACUAGGAGAAACAACUACGGUAAUUGUUGCAACAACAACUAUUAGUUGUUGUGUUACAGCAAUUAUUGAAGUUGUUGUAGUUAUUAUCGAAGUUGCUGCAGCAACUUCAACUAUUGCUGAAGCAAUUUCGAUACUUACUUAAUUUCUAGAAAAAGAUCUGAUUGGGGGAGAAGUUCAUGAAAAAGUGAUAUUUAUGAUAAAAAUAGAGGUGGUGGUGCUGAUGGCGAUGCCGAACGAGGAGAUUACAUUUGUUGUGGUGUUGAUAGUGACGAUGGUAGAGAAAAAGGAAGAAAAAUAGGCGAUAAUUAGUUAUGUAGAGGGAGGAAACAAUGGUGAAUCUGAAAGAGGUGACAAUGGUAGUGAUAGUGAUAGUGAUAGUGGAGGAAGAGAAGGUGACGACGGCGGGCGGCAACAAAAAUAGUGUGGAUGAGGAGUGGUGGUGAUGGUGUAGGGAUCUUUAUGUAAAUAUGGGGUAGGGAUCUUUGUAUAAAUAAUAAAACUUGAGGGUUUUAAAAUUAGUGUCAUUAACAUUAAUCUUAAAAUUAUCAUCUCUACUCAAUAUUUAAGACUUGUGUCACUAUUUUUUAGUUUUGAAACUUUUUUGUCACCCUUAAUUAAUUUGCCCAAGUCUUUCAUUAAAUAAAGAUAAGUGGGACCAUAAUAUUAUUAUAUUAAAAAAUAAAUUCGCUGAAAUAAUUGGAAAAGUUGUUCCACAACUGCAUUAGUUUGAACAAUUUAAACAACUUUGAUAGUUAUUGAGACAAUUUCUAUAUUUUUUAAUUGGAGCGAAAAUAAUUUUUAAAAAAAUGAAAAAAAGAUUGUCCCUUCCACCUAAUUUUUAAACUAAAAAUUACUUAAACCCAUAAUUUAUGUUUCACUUAUUACAAAAAAAUUCAUCUCUCCAAACAUAUUAUAAAAAUCUCAUUUUUCUCUAAAAGUACAUAUACAUAUCUUUCUAUGUAUAUGUCGGUCAUGUUAUGUAUAUGAAUCGGCCUAGUCAUAAAUAAAGGUUUUUAUGUAUAUGUAGAUCUUGUUAUGUGUUAGGAUCGAGAACCCGGUUAUUGCGGAAUUUAGCCAAAUAAUGUUAUAAUGACACUAACAAAGACAAUAACAAGUUGAUAGUAACGGUACUUAAAGAAAAAAUAAAGGAGACACAAAUUUAACGUGGUUCGGCCAGUGUGACCUACGUUCACGAGCGGAGAGGAACAACUUCACUAUAUCAACAGAAGUACAAUAGAGAGAUUACAAAAUUAGAGUAGUCACUCUAAUUAACCCAAAUAUCUCAAGAGAAAACCUCACAAGAUCACUUCAAAAAAAAUGGCUCACACAAAGUAUUUCCCAACACCAACUCUCUUAGCUUAAUACUCUAAUAGGAAGGAAGAAUAAAUACAAGAGAAUGAAAGAGAACUCUUGUAAUUUGAUGUGUAUUAUAAUUGAGAAAGAAGACCUCUAUUUAUAGAGAUGAAAAUGGAGAUAAGUAGCAAUUUUGUUUGAACAAGAAGCAACUUGUUUGAACAAGUAGCAACUUGUUUGAACAAGUAACAAUCUUAUUUGACAAGUCCAAAAAAUAACCUUCCACAAGUAUUUGGUAGAAACUUACUUUGACAAAGCAAGAGUGAAUCAAACAAAGGCCACAUUACAAAUCUCCACCUUGGCCUGAGUUUGGUUAAUAUAGUAAAUUUGCUUCCUCUCCGCAAAAGUCCGUGUGGGUAAAUCAUUCUUCACAAACGGCAAUCAAGUUCAAGCAAAGCUUGAACUUACUGACCGGAAGAGACUUUGUGAACAUGUCUGCAGGAUUGUCUUUAGUGUUGAUCUUCUGAAUAGAGACCUUUCCUUCAAUAAUAGAUUCCCGAAUAAAAUGACACUUGAUGUGAAUAUGCUUCGUCCUCUCAUGAUACAUUUGAUAUUUAGUCAAGUGGAUUGCACUUUGACUAUCACAGAAAAUAAUAAUAUCACCUUGGUGUGGACUGAGUUCAGCAAAUAGACCCUUCAACCAUAAGGCUUCUUUGAUAGCCUUGGUCACUGCCAUAUAUUCUACUUCAGUAGUAGAUAAAGCUACUACGUGUUGUAAUGUAGCUUUCCAACUGAUAGCACAACCACCAAUGCAAAACAUGUAGCAGUCAGUGAUCUUCUUUUAUCAAGAUCACCUACAUAAUUUGAGUCUACAAAGCCAACUAAAGUGUUAGUAUUUCUACCAAAUUCCAAACAUGCGUUUGAGGUACCACGCAAGUAUCUGAGAAUCCAUUUCACUGCUUGCCAAUGUGCUUUUUCAGGAUAAGCCAUAUAUCGACUUACCACACUUACUGCAUGUGAAAUAUCCGGACGUGUACACACCAUUACGUACAUAAUAUUGUCAACUGCACUAGAAUACGGUACCUGUGCCAUAUAACUUUCUUCUUCCUCUGACUGCGGUACUUAGGCAGCUGAUAACUUAAAAUGAGCAGCAAGAGGAGUACUUACUGGUUUAGCUUCUUUCAUGCCAAACCUCUCCAAAACCUUCUCCAAGUACUUCUUCUGGGUCAAAAAUAGCCUGCGGGCUUCUCGAUCUCUUUUGAUCUCCACGCCAAGGAUUUUCUUAGCUGCUCCCAAAUCUUUCAUUUCAAAUUCACUUUUCAGCUGACUUUACAAAUUGUGAAUUUCUGUCAAAUCCUUAGCAGCAAUAAGCAUGUCAUCAACAUAUAAUAGUAAGUAAAUGAAUGAACCAUUAUUUAACUUUCGAAAGAAAACACAACUAUCAUACAUGUUUCUUGAAUAUCCAUGACCCAACAUAAAGGAAUCAAACCUCUUGUACCACUGUUUUUGGAGAUUGUUUUAAUCCGUACAAGGAUUUCUUUAACAAGCAAACAUGAUCUUCCUUUCCUUCAAUUUUAAAUCCUUCAGGUUGAUGCAUAUGUAUUUGUUCCUCAAGUUCGCCAUGUAAGAAAGCUGUCUUAACAUCAAGCUGUUCUAAUUCCAAAUCAUGCAUGGCAGCUAAGGCAAGCAAGACACGAAUAGAGCUAUAUUUAACAACAGGUGAUAAAAUAUCAUUAAAAUCAACUCCUUGUACCUGACUUUAGCCCUUUGCAACUAAUCGUGCCUUAUACCUUGCAUCUUCAACCCCUGAAAUUCCAUCUUUUUUCUUGAAGACCUAUUUGCAACCAAUGAUUCUACUUCCUGACGGCGGCUUCACAAUAGACCAAGUACCAUUCUUAUGAAGAGAUUCAAUUUCUUCAUUCAUUGCAAUCAGCCACUUGGCUGAAUCAACACCAGAAACUACUUCUGAAUAAUUUGAUGGUUCUCCGAUUUCUUUAGUUUCCUGUGCAACUUAAAAAGCAAAUACAACAUAAUCUCCAUACCUUUCUAGUCUGAGAAUUUGUCUUCUUGGUCUAUGUGUUGCUAUGGAAUACUCAUUUGGUUCAACUUCAGAAGUCAUAACUUCUGGCUCAACUUCUGAAUUUUCAACUGUAUUUUGUUCCACAGUUGAUGAUGAGCUUGGCUCAGAAGGUAUGCCAAGCUCAACCUCCACCUGUUCAUACACAUCAUGCUCUUUGUUCUUGGUACAAGAGUUAGAAGACUAUUUUCUAGAAUGUAACAUGGAGGAUUCAUCAAAAGUUACUUAUCUGCUAAUUAUAAAUUUUGGUGACUUGGGAUCAGGGCACCAAAGUCUGUAUCCUUUCACCAAAGCCCUUGGCUCUAAUUUUUCAUUAUUUGCAUGCAUGUAAGUAGGACAACCAAAAACUUUUAAGUUAGAAUAAUUAGCAGGUGUACCUGAUCAUAUUUCCUCCGGAGUCUUGAAGUUCAAAGGUGCAGAAGGAGCACGGUUGAUAAUAUAACAAGCUGUAGAGAUAGCCUCAGCCCAAAAUUUGUUGAACUCGUCAUUACAAAAUUCCAAGCCAUUAUCUGUUCUAAGCCACUUGACCUGUUUUCCUAUUUGCUUUUCAAUCAAAACUUUUCAUUAUUUGAAAGUUAAGAAAACAUCACUUUUGUUUUUCAGAAAAUAAACCCAAACCUUCCUUGAAUAAUCAUCAAUGAAAGUUAACAUAUACCUGGCACCACCUUUUGAUGGGGUACGGGAAGGACCCCAAAGAUCUGAAUAAAUGUAGUCCAAAGUACCUUUUGUUCGAUGAACUGCUGGAGAUUUGAAGUUGAGUUUUUUCUGCUUUCCAAACACACAGUGUUUGCAGAACUCUAUUUUUUCCAAUACUUUGUCUACACAGUAGACCUCUUUUGCUGAGGAUGGAAAAACCCUUUUCACUCAUAUGACCCAAUCGCAUAUGCCACAAUUUGGUGAUGUUAGGAUCAAGUUGAUUUGAAGUGAAAACUGCAGCAGCACCUGUAACAGUGGAUCCCAAUAAAUUGUACAACGUACCUGAUCUGUGUGCUUUCAUGAUCACAAGAGCUCUUGAAGAUACUUUCAAAACUCCACCUUCACUUGUGUAUUUACACCCAAGAGAUUCUAGAGUGCCCAAUGAAAUGAGAUUUUUCUUCAAGUCGGGAACAUAUCUAACAUCCGUGAGAGUUCUCACCACACCAUCAGGCAUUUUAAUUCGGACUGUACCUUUACCAAAAAUCUUGCAGGGAGUAUUGUUGCCCAUCAAGACAACUCCACCUCCAACAGAUUCGAAUGUGUUAAACAAAUCUCUAUUGGGACACAUAUGAUAAGAACAACCCGAAUCCAAAAUCCACUCAUCGUUAGAUUUAAAACUAUUAUUAGUUGCUAUGAAUAUUAUUCCUUCAGACUCGUUAGUAGCCACACUUGCUUCGGCGGAGUCAGCAUUUUGAUGCUCAUUUUUGUUUUCUUUACGCUUUUCUUUGUUUUUCAACUUAAAGCAUUCAAAAAUGAAAUGACCUUUUUUAUGACAGUAUUUGCACACAACAUUUCUAGGUUUAGACUUUGACCUUGAUUGAGACCUCUCAUUAUUUGAUUCUUUAGAUUGAGACCUCUCAUUAUUUGAUUCUUUCUUAUUAGAUCUACCUCUUACAAAUAAUCCUUCCCCAUGGGCUGCGCUACUUUCCCCAGUAAUAUCUCUAUCUAUCUGUUCCUUUUUAUUUAAGAUAGAUUUGAUUUCUCCGUAAGAGAUAUUAUCCUUUCCAUAAAGCAUAGUAUCUCUAAUAUGCUUAAAUAAUUGAGGUAAGGAAAUAAGUAAUAAGACGGCUUGGUCUUCAUCAUUAACUUCAACGUCUAUAUUGCUUAAAUCCAUAAGAAUAGAAUCAAAAUCAUCAAGAUGUGAGAGUAUAGAGGUACCUUCUACCAUACGAAAUGUGUAAAGCUUUUGCUUCAGGUAAAGUUGAUUUUCCACUGUCCUCUUCAUAUACAAGGCUUUUAGUUUUUCCCAUGUGCCUUUCGCUGUGGUUUCUACAUAUUUCACGUAAAACCUCAUUUGAGAGAUUUAGAAUAAUACCUGAUUUUGCCUUUUUGUCUAUGACAACAAAUUCUUCGUCCGCCAUUUUUUCGGCUUCUUCUCAUUUCCUUCUAGUGCCAUAUCUAAGUCAUCCUGAAUUAAGAUAGCUUCCAUCUUUAAUUGCCACAUCCCGAAGUUUGCACUUCGAUCAAAUUUCUCAACGUAAGUCUUUGUUAUAGUCAUUUUGGCUACUGAAAAAUAACCUGGUUAGAUUCAGCUCUGAUACCAAUUUGUUAGGAUCGAGAACCCGGUUAUUGCAGAAUUUAGCCAAAUAAUGUUAUGAUGACAAUAACAAAGACAAUAACAAGUUGAUAGUAACAGUACUUAAAGAAAAAAUAAAUGAGACACAAAUUUAAUGUGGUUCGAUCAGUGUGGCCUACGUCCACGAGGGGAGAGGAACAACUUCAUUAUAUCAACAAGAGUACAAUAGAGAGAUUACAAAAUUAGAGUAGUCACUCUAAUUAACCCAAAUAUCCUAAGGGAAAACCUCACAAGAUCACUCCAAAAGAAAUGGCUCACACAAAGUAUUUCCCAACACCAACUCUCUUAACUUAAUACUCUAAUAGGAAGGAAGAAUAAAUACAAGAGAAUGAAAGAGAACUCUUGUAAUUUGAUGUGUAUUACGAUUGAGAAAGAAGGUCUCUCUAUAUAGAGAUGAAAAUGGAAACAAGUAGUAACUUUGUUUGAACAAGAAGCAAUUUGUUUGAACAAGUAGCAAUCUUGUUUGACAAAUCCAAAAAAUAAUCUUCCACAAGUAUUUGGUAGGAACUUCCUUUAACAAAGUAAGAAUGAAUCAAACAAGGGUCACAUUACAUUAUGUAUAUGAAUCGGGAGAGAGUAAAGUAAUUAAGGAAGUUACUUAUACUUUUUUUAAACUUGAAGCCACCUAAUUGAGUAGUCUGUCCAUUUUAUGUCGUAACUGCGAGAUUCCGUGAUUCUGUCUCCUGUAUAUCCGAAACAUUUAUUAUUAUAUAAAAUGUCUUGCACGCAAACAAAUGCGGUUCUAUGGUGUAGUGGUUAGCACUCUGGACUUUGAAUCCAGCGACCUGGGUUCGACUCCCGGUAGGACCUAUUUUUUUCUCAUUUUUGUAUUCUUUUUGUUCAGCAAGGGUCUAUCGGAAACAGUCCCUAUAUUUCAGUUCUGAGAUAGUAGUAAUGGACAGCAUAUGUUAUUAAUAUUGUUGCUAUAUUUUCUUUUCUUUUCAUUUUUUGAAUUCUUUCACAAUUACAAAUACGACAUGGACCUGUUUUUUUUCUCAUUUUUGUAUUCUUUUUGUUCAGUAAGGGUCUGUUGGAAACAGUCCCUAUAUUUCAGUUCUGAGAUAGUAGUAAUGGACAACAUAUGUUAUUAAUAUUGUUGUUAUAUUUUCUUUUCUUUUCAUUUUUUGAAUUAUUUUUCACAAUUACGAAUACGACAUGUGAGAAAUAUGGUAAAAAGGAAUAUUUGGUCCUGAAUUAUAAGCCUUCUAAUAGGAAAGUAUGACAGUCUAGCAUCAGCGUAAAAGGUUAGAAGAUAGUAGAGUAUUAUCUUUCCCACGCCUAGUUCUUCCCCCGGACCUGUAGUGGAGCUUGUCCCCUGCCCUAGGCCUAUUGAGAUUGAGUUUCCUUCACCAAUAAUUUUAUUAGGCAGGGCCUAUUGAGAUUGAGUUUUCUUCACCAAUAAUUUUAUUAUUAAUCUCCUACUAUCUUUUCUUAAAAAAGAUCUUACUAUUACUUCUUGUUUUCUUAGCUUCGGUUAUUAUAUUUUUGUUGCUGUAGUUGUUCUCUUUUCUAUUGUUUUAAACAUAACUAUUGUAUUUCAUUUACAUAUGUUUUACUUAAGCCGAGAAAUUAUCAAAAAGAGUCUCUGCUCAGUAAGGCUGCAGGCUGCGCUCACACCACCCUCCACUGACGCCAUGGAUAUGUUAUUCUUGUUUCUAAUUAAUAAGAUAUUCGUCUUCUAAACCUCAUUUGACAUAUCAAACACUUGCAUUUUACGAAAAGAAAAGCAAGAAAGGAGGUCUCUCCAAUAUGCAGCAACAAUUUCAGUUCCAAUUAGAUUGAUCUCUAUUAGGGGGGAAAUGAAGUAGCAUUAUUAAUACACUCCUACAAUAGAGUAAUGUGAAAUUUAUGUUUUAUACUACACAGAAAUGUACAAAAUAAGCUCUAAUGGUCAUGAGAUCCUUUAAGAGAAGUUGCAAGAACUUCGGUGCUCAUUCUAAACUAGCUUGUCCAUGCUCUUAAAACUGUUAAACCCCGAGGUUUCUCCACCCAGCAUAUUUUUGAUAAAUGAGAAAUCCCUGAGAGCCAGCUAUCACGCGGUUCAGAACUUAAUGGAUAAUAGAUCCGACCAAGAUUUUGUCUGCAGCAAGGUUCAAACUCGUGAUGUGAGCCUAACCUACAUAUCAACAUUGGUUCAGAGGAAGAGCGAGACUAUGGUUGAGAUAUCUCUGCCUUGGCAAGCGCCUCGUUCUCUUUCCCCACCCCGUUAGACUUUUUUCCUCGAGCCCCGAAUCAGUAGAACAAGGCUGGAUUACUGGGGGCGUGCAAUCUGCAAGAAUUGUUGGAGAGGGAUCAGCAAUUGCUAAUCGCCGCCUUCCCCUGCCACUCUUGCCGGUUUUCCUGUGUGAUAAGCUAAACUGCCAAGAAGAUCCACUAGCUUUAAACAGCUCUUCAAAGGCCAGAAUAUCCUUCUUCACCUCAUACCUCGACAAGGAAAUAAUACCAGGAAGAACAUCCCUCUGGAAAUCUCUCCGUUGCCUGCCCCUUCUUGCUUGCCCCCUUCGAGGCCCUUUUGGUAAGGUAGUGGCCACCGUUUCUUCGUCUUUAUGGCUCUCCAUUGUUGGCAUUUUGUAGGAAUACUCUUCUUCCUUCAUAUCUUCCAGCGUGAGUGUCAUGAACUCAAAGUAAUCAAAGCAAUCGGGAAUGGAUUCCUCAUCAAACUCGGACAUUGUACCUGAGUUGAUUUUUCUAGCAAUGCUUUCUUGGUCACUACUGUGAGAGGAGGCAAACUCAGCAAACCAGUUGAGGCUGUCACUAGGUUCAGUUUGCAACACAUGAUUCAUUUCUCUGUUUACACCAGACAUUGAGAUGGAAAUUAUAGACUCUGCAGCAAUCCUCAUGGCUUCUUCAUUCGAUUUAUUAGAUUCUUCUAAUGUAUGUUUAGAAUUCACACAUUCUUCUUCGGAUUCAAGAACUGCGGGAGCCUCUAAAUCUAUCUCAGUGGUUGCAAUCCUCACCACAGCCUGAAGAAGAGGAGGUGCUGAUGGUGCCUCUUCUUCAUCAAAAGACAAGUUCAAAUCAAUCUGAUACCUUAAACCAGAAACAUGACCAUUUAGUCCUUUUUCUUGAACAAAAUCCUUAGCUUCCACCUGCUUUCUAGAAAGAGUCUCAUAUCCAGAAGUGUUUGCGGCAGUAACAGAGUCAACAUCUGGAAAAGUGGCCUUGGAGAGAGCAUGUGCUGCAUGCGAGUCCUUAGAGGGACUGAAAAUUGGAACACCGAAAAUUGUCCUAAUUUUAGUGUUGUCUGUAACUUCAGUCUUCUGGCACUCAGAAUCAUUGGUGGAUCUCGAUGACAUGGUUUCCCGUCUCGGAUAUAUAAAUUGGGAGGAGCUGACUGAUGUAUCUUCUCUUCUGAAAAACUGCUGAGAAUAAUUCUGCAAGGAGUCCAGAUUUAAGUGAUAACAACUUUCCGUCCCUUUAGUCUGCUCUACACUUUCCUGUGAUUUCACCCUUAACCAAGGCAAUGUCUCCCUGGAGUUUUCCUGCUUCCUUUGACAAUCUCCAGAUACAUGCGUUUUGCCAGCUGCUUCAGUUUGAGAAACACAGGAAGUUUCUCUGGCAUUCUUAAAUCCAGCAGAAUUACAAUCCAAGUCAUUCACACGUUCACAAGUUUUUGUCCAAUCUUGUUUAGCAUUUAGCUGAGAUCUUUUACAAAGAACAUUUUGGUAUGGAAGCACAUUCUUUGAACUUGAAUGUGAUCUGACAUCACUUCCCAUAUGCAUAUUGCCUCGAUUAGCCUCAAGGUCUCGCAGAAGUUCAGUAUAACUCUGAGAAAGUGGUUUAGACUUAUGAGUGGAAGUUUGCAUGAUGGAAAAGCUAGCCGAUUGUAUUUGAUUUUCUUCAUGAAUUUCAACCCCAAAGAUAGUCCUUUUCUUCUGGUGUUCAUUCUUGAUGUUCUUAAAGAGAGUGUGCUUGAAAGGUUCAUGACCUUGUGAUGACUGAAAGGCUUUAGGUAAAUUUUCGGCUGUUUCAAGUCUUCCAGAAGAUCUGUUAUCUGGUUGCUUUUGCUCUGUAACAAGAAGAUCGAAAUCAAAACAGAAAGUAGUAGCAAGAUAUUAAUAUAAAAUACGAAUGCAGUAAAUCAAAUAAAGAGGUGUCACUCAACAAGAGGUCUUUCUGUGACUAUGACGGUAUCCCUUUCUGCUCCUACUUUUUUUAGUUCAUCUAAACAUUCAUACUGCAACUCAUCGAACAAAUAGCUCAGCAAGAAAAAGUCUCAACAAGAAUUAAAUUUGUAGACCGGAAAGGUAGCAGACACAUAGUAAGUCUUUCUUUUAUAUCCCUAUAUAGAAAGGACACAACAUAUGAAAAUCCACUAUUUGUCCAGAAAGUUACUUUGGAAGUAUCAUCAGAUACUAGCUAAAAAAUCUUCUUUAGCGGUUUAUCCUCCUUUCAAAUGAAACAUAUGAAAAGUUAUUGUCUACUAACACAGUUGAAAGGUGAAAAGACGGGUUUACAUCAAGAAAACAAUCUUACCAGCAUUUAACUUAAACAUUAACUGCUCUUCUCCCUUCCUGCAAGGCCGGUGGUUGAGGCAAAUUCCACCAAUCCUUUCCUUGAGUGGCGUUGCAGAGAACUUCGCCCCGUCAUAGCUGUCACCCUCAAGGAAAGCAACGCUGCUUAUAUUCAUAUCCGGCACCAAAGGAGGAUCUUCUUCAAGUGGUAGAGGUUUAUUUAAGUCAGCCAGUUCAUCAGUCCUUUUUGAGGAUUUAGCUCUGUCGAAAUCAGCAUCAGAACGGAAUUCUAAAGCACUGGCGAUAGGUGCCUUUGCAUCUCUACUUUGGGGGAUCUGAUAAAUUCUCUCAGCAGGGUUCCCUUGAACGUCCGGUGAUUCCCAUUGUUUCGUAGUAGAGUGUUUUUCUUUGUUAUUCGUGCACUCAUUAACUACAUAUCUAGAGCCGAACAUUUUUCUCUGGAACAAACUGCUACCAGGCUGGUGAGAUUCACAUUCUUUUGAACUUUUUGUGACAUGGGGGGAGAAAUUAAUGGACCUGCCAUCGGUCUCUAUAAAAUCAAAGGACGAUUGGUUCUUAGAAGCACCUUUAAUUGAUAGCUGGCCAGCUAUAGAAUCCAAUGAAGGAAAAUGAGAUAAUGAGGGACUUGACUGUAAUAUCUUUGUUCGACUGUCACGCAUUUCUUUGCUUUGAUGUUCAUUCAUUAAAUCUCUUUGUCUUCUGUAUAUCCGGUGAAGUUCUUGGAGCUGCACAGGUAAACCACAUCAAAAUCACAAAAUGUUAAAAAUACGAUCUCUUUAUUCAGUCCUUCAUAUAAAUGAAACAACUCGAGUGAGAAAACGAUUACAAGUCACCAUACCUGAUGCCUAAAAACUGUUUCAUGCUUCAAAAUAGUCUGCCUCAUUUUUUCUUUGUCACAUUCAAAAUAUCCAUCAAUUGGUUGCGGGGACAAAACUGAAUCAGUGCACUGACUUCUUUUCCUCGACUUAUUUUCAUGAUUUGGGAGCCAUGGGAUGUUAGUUCCAUUGUUAUUUAGAUCACUCGUGGAGCAAAAUCCCGGCAAAUAUGCCUUACAUUGUACUUUAGUGCCCAUUCCUGCAAUCAUACAAGGGUGGAAAAAUGAUUAGGCUAGCAAAACAAUCAAACACAAAGGAAAAUCUAGUCGAUUGAUACAUCUUCAGAUCACGAAAAAUGCCUCCAUUAUACUUCUUUUGUUACUUUUCGAGCCUCAAGCAUAGUUGUUUUCUUUUAAUAGAACAAGUGCAAAUAUACAGAAUUAGAGAGCUAAUGCAUUCAUUUGUAACUGCUAUCUCUUUGCACACCAGAAAGAACGUUUGCGGACAUACAAUCAUACAGGAGGCCAAGUGAGAAAUACCUCAGGCACGAUUCACACUGUCAAAUUGCCAGUGAGGUCCAACAUUUACAGAAAUUAUUACCAAGAUCAAAGUUUUAUCUCCAAAGUAAGAUAUGCCUAUAAAAGCUCUCUAAGAAUGGAGAUGAAAGAAACAUAUCAGCACCUGCUUUCAUUUGACUGCUUGGCAAGUAUAUCAUGGCUCGAACAUUAUGUUCAAAAAUAUUAAAUGUCACUUUAGUAUAUUCUAUAUAUCUUUAAUUUAAAACCACAAGAUUUAAACUCCGUGUCAAGUCAAAAUCAAGUAAACAAAUUGAAACAGUAGCAGUAUCAGUCUGUGCAUUAUCUGAAACUCCGUGUCAAGUCAAAAUCAAGUAAACAAAUUGAAACAGUGGGAGUAUCAGUAUGUGCAUUAUCUGUGAUUAUUUCUGGCUAUUCUAUCAACUGCAGGUUGAGAUGGCCUACAAGGUAACUAUCUACAGUGAUAAUUUUGUAACCUAAUAAGUACAGUAAAUAACAAUUAAAUAACUCAAGUCAAUAUUUUGGAAAUGAAGGCAAUGCAAUCUAUGACCAAUCUUGAGGAUUGGUCAAACAAAUUAAUUCCAUAAGAAUUCCUAUUUUCAAUUUUACCCACAAAAGGUAUGAUGUAUCAGUAAAAAAACUUCUGGUCCAAUUUUCCAAUUCUCUCAUACUUUCUUCCUUUCAAGCAAUCAAAACAUUUAAGAUCAAAUCCAACAUGAAAACUCAAAAAUAAAAACAGAAACAAAAACUUAAAAAACAAGUAAACAACAUAUAAGAAAGUAACGAGAAACUUGUAAAUUACCUCAAAAAAACUCUGCUAAUUCCUCCUCUUCACUACUUGAAAAUUUUGAGUCUCAGAAUCCUUUUAAGAAUUCUUUGUUCAGCUGAAAUUCCCUUUUAAUAAAUUUCCACAAAUCCAAAACCAAAAAAGCAACAACCUUUGUGUUGUCACUAAAGAAACCUUAAGACAAAAAACAUCACAUCCAUAAAUCAAGAAUUCAGUUAAGAACACCAUAUAAUACUUUAAAAAAAAAAAAAAAAAAAAAGUACCCUUCUGCUGGUCCAGUGUGAUCAAAUCAAAAGAAGCUACAUGUUAGAGAGAUCCCAUGUAAGAUUAAGAUCUCUUUCUCUUUCUACAUAGAAAAAAAUGAAGUCUUUGGAAAAAGCAAUGACUUCAAAAAUGUCAACAUGUGGUCUCUUUGUUAUUCUCAUACUAUGUUUUUUUUUUCUCUCUUUUUCACUUUUCAAUCAUUUCUUUACCCAAUUGGCUAUCUAUUUUUGAUAGUUAUAUGAGUAACAACAAAGUAUCUAAAUGAAUAAAAUAUUUGACAGAUUUUUAUUUUUUUUUCUGGGCUUUUGAGGAAGUGAAAGACAUAGGUAUUUGUAGCACAUUUUCUAGAUUCUCUGUGACCCUCCUCUCUUGUUGGGUGCCACAUAAUUUAAUUUAUAUUUCUUUCUUGACAACUACUUCAGAUAAUUUUGUAUCAUUAUUUUAUUAUUCUCACAAUAUUUUGAUGUACAGUAACAGAUAAUUUGCUUUAUUUUUACAAGUUAUUAAUUUCCUUGCUUAUGAACGAUUAAUUACUUAUAACUAUAACUAUCAUUUACAUAAUUUGAUGGCAUAAAGAGUUAUUUGUGCUAAUGAUCAAAAACUUACCUUAAGUAUUUCAAUUUUUUUAGAUGAUACCUAAAACAACCACACCUCAACUAUUAAUUUAAGAAAUGGUGAUUUUUGGGUAGAAAAAGCGAUACAUUGAUAGGUAAUGUGUUUUUUGAUACUAAUAAUUAGUGAUAGUUCAAUAUAACUUAAAAUGAGAAUAAUUUAGGCGUGUUUUGACCCUUCACCCAAAUCAUCUUAACUAGUUAUGUAGCUUAUUUGAGAUGAGGGUCUAUCCAAAACAGUCUAUCUCCUCUACAAAGAUAGAAUAAAGUUUGUAUAUAUUUAAAUUAUACUAAAUACUCCCUCCGUUUCAGAAUAAAUGAAUUAUUGGGGUAUUUAUUGGUGUUUCAAAAUAAGUGAAUUGUUGAAUUUUUUUCUAAAAUUACCCUUAUGAUUUGACAAGCAAAAGAGAUCGCAGAUUUUUUUUUUUGGGGGUAAAAGAGACUUCAAGGGUAAAAAUAAAAAUUUAUAUUAAAUUUAUGUUUUUAAUAUUUUUUUCCUUAUUUUGUGUGCUAAAAUUUAAUAAUUUAUUUAUUUCGAAACGGAGGAAAUAAUAUAUUAUUGUUAUUACGAUUAACUAAUCUUUGUGUCAAGUAUACACUUCAAAUUCAAUUGAGGCAAAUAUUUUUAAAAUAAAAUAACUUUAUGUCACAUGGAUCAACAAUGCAAUUGGAAAAGGAAAAAAAAAAAAAAAAGAGUGGAAUGAUGUUUGAAAGUUAAAAUGGGAAAAGGGUAUUAAAAUGUUCAACAGUUUCCUAACAGGUGACCUCAUUAUCAUCAAUAAAGAUGCAUCUAAAAUCUAAAUUACUAACAAUCACUCGCAUGAAUGAUGUUCUAUCUGACACGAAAGUACAAAGGGUUAGUUUCAUUUUAUCUAAGUCUCUUUGUUAAAAAUAUUUUUUUAUUUAUUUAUUUAUUUUGUGAAAUUAAGAGAAAUAUUUAUGUAUUCUUUUUCUUUUUUACCAUUUCAUUAAUUUAGUUAUAUAUACAGUUCAUUGUUGAUUUUUAAUGGGACUGGGUCAAAUCAAGAAAAAUAAAAUAGAUAAUACUCAUAAAAAUAUCUGAACUUUGAUCGAAUUUUCAGUUGAAUAUACUGAACUUUAAGGGGGUUCUAUUAUCCCCUAAACUUUUUUUCGUAUUUUAGUGAUAUAUAUCUGCCCACUUAGACACGUGUAAAUAUAAGAUUGGCGCGUGUAUGACACGGGUCAAUACAUGUGUAAAAACGAGAUUUGACGCUUGUAUUACACGCGUCAGCGUCAAAAAAGGGUAUACAGUUUCUGGGGGAAUUAAAUCCACUUUAAAAAAUCUAGGGGUAAUAGAACCCCCGCAAAGUUCAGUAUACUCAACUAAAAAUCUGAUCAAAGUUUUGAUAUUUUUGUGAGUAUUAUCUCAAAAUAAAACGAAAAGAUUAGAAAGAUAUGCGUAGCUUACAUGUCCAGGUGUGGCGCGUGGGAGAACAUACUCUUGACUUCAAUCUCCGUCCCAGAAUAUGCAAAUAUUUAGGUGAAGAUGAAAAGGACUGUUUGGCAAUUGAAAUUACUCUCUCAGUCCCAUUUUACUCGUUCCAAUUUAAUACUUCAUGUUGAUUAAGAAAAAUAAUUAAUAACAUGACUAUUUUAUCAUAAUACCCCUAUAAAAUAAUUUUUACAUUUUAAUUUGGAGAAAAAAAAUAAUUAAUACUAAGGGUAAAAAAGAAAAAAAAAUUGUCUUGUCUUAAUUAAUGAAAAAUGAUAAGUAAAAUAUGAAAUUAAAUUAAAAAAUUUGAGAUAAGUAAAAUAGGACGGAGGAAGUAUGAAACUACUUACUUUUUAUUUUUAUUUUUUUGGAAUAAUUUAUAUGCUACUUCUCUUUACCAUUAUAGUGCUGAAGAAGUGAAGAUUAUCUGUUUACUUUGAUUGUUGCUGUUGCAUAUAUUAAUUUAUCUAUUUAUUACUUGACAUAGGUAUAAAUUAGUUGGAAGAAGUAGUUGUGAAUCUUGUAAAAGAUGGAAGUGAACAAAAAUGGUUUCAAAUUUAUUACAACAAUAAAAUAGAAGGAGGAAUGGUUUGUUUGUAUCUGUUUUGUAGUUUGUCGUUUGUAGGAUUCUGAUGAUGUUUGUGAUCUUGAAUAAAUAGUUUAUAAUAUAACUUUGCUUUUGUCUUAUUUCUUUUAUUAUCUAGCGAUGUGUUAUUUCAUUUGUUAUUUAUUUAUUUUAUUUAUUAUACUAUUUUCUGUCAUGAAUUGGGUAUCUAUUGGAAAAAAACUUGUCUCCUUCAUCUACGUAGUGGUAUGGACUACGUACACUCUAUUGUUGUAAUGUAUGUCGUUCACACUUACCCGUAGUGAAAGCAAGGCAGAUCUAAGAAGACAGGAGGGUAUUCUUUCCAAUAUGCUCGAUAAUAUAAAGUAAUUUUUUUUUUUUUUAUGUAUAUAUAUAAAUUUUGAUUCCCAUGCGGAAUGUAAUGGAUAAAGCUACCAAUUACAGAAUUGAAUAUUAUGGUCGGAAUAUAUAUCAUUUUCAGCAUAGUGUUAUUUUAAAUUAGCAUAGAUAAAAAAAGUAAGAAUAAAAAAUAAAUAAGUUGGAGAAUAAAGUAAGCAAAGAAACUUGACUGAGUCCAAUAAAAAAGAAGUCCACGCUGUUUAUGUUAGAUUUUAUUUUGGGAAAAUUAGUAAAGUUGGUCUAUUCAUGAAUGUAUUGCACAAUAUGGGCCCUACGCGUCGUGUGUUUCGUUUCUCUCCACUAAAUUACAUUUUUUUUUUUUUAUGAUUAUUCAACAUUUAAAAGAUUUUUAAAAAGAGAAAAUUAAUUGGUAGAGCAAACAUAUUUUUUUUAAUUAUUCUGAAUAAUGAGAGUUUAAGAAAUUAAUUUACAUAGUGUUGUAAAAUAACAAAGAAUAAAGAAGAAGAGUAAAGAGAGUAAUUUUUUAUUUCUCUUUAGGAUGAGAAAUCAUAAAAUUGAGAAUACAGUGAAUAAAACUCUUCUAUUUAUAGGAAAAAAAUACUCCUAGUUUUUGACUAAAAGACAGAUACUUCAAAUCUUGAUAGAUAUCAGCUAGAUCUUAUUAGAUCUUGAUAGACAUUCAUUAUAAUACAAAUAUAUUUUUAACACUCCCCUUGAAUGUCUAGAUAAAUAAUAUGUCUCGUUAAAAUCUUACUAGAAAAAAUUCGGUAGGAAAAAAAUGCAGUGAAGGAAAAAGAGUGCACAUCUCUAAUAAUAUGAAUUUCGGUUGCCUCAUUAAAAACCUUACAAGGAAAACUCAGUAGUACAAAACCUUGAAAGGAAAAAAGAGUACAACGCGUAUUUGCUCCCCCUGAUGAGAACAUCGCCUUUGCAUCCCGAUCUUGUGCAUCAUCUUCUUGAAAGCUGCAGUUGGAGGAGACUUGGUGAAUAAAUCAGCCACAUUGUCACUUGAAUGAAUUUAUUGUACGUUAAUAUCACCAUUCUUUUGUAGCUCAUGUAUGUAGAAAAACUUUGAUGAAGUGUGCUUCGUUUUAUCUCCUUUUAUGAAUCCCCCUUAAAAUGUGUUAUGUAUGUUGCAUUAUCUCCAUAUAAAAUUGUGGGCAUAUUGUCACAUUUCAAAUUACAUUAUUCUCGAAUGUGAUGUAUCAUGAACCUCAAUCAUAUACAUUCUCGUUUUGUUACAUGAAUAGCUAUUAUCUAGACAUGGUUCGAUGGGGUGGCUAGAUCGACUGCUUUGUAUAUCUCCAAGAUAUAACAGUACCCCCACAUAUAAACACAUAGUCUGUUUGAGAUCGAAAAUUAUGCAGGUCAGAUAAGUACCCAGCAUCAGCAUAGCCAACAAGAUCGAGAUUGCAAGCUUUAAAAUAAAAUAAGAUCAUGCGUUUGAUCUCAUUUUGAUGUCUCCUAAUAGGAGCAGAAAUAUACAUUGCUAACAAAUUAACUGAAAAGGCUAUAUCGGACCUUAUAGUAUUUGCAAGAUAUAUUAGUACACCAAUUGAACUAAGAUAUGGUACUUCAGGACCAAUCCAAUUCGGUGCGUUUCACAUUUCAGCAAAUAAUCUUAUUGCUUUUGAAAACUCACAUUUCAAUGAUUUUCAAACCAUCAAUUUAUCCCUUAUAAGGAUAAUAAAUAAGUUUCCUAGAAACUUUAUAUGCUUCAAACAGUUUGAAUCCUUUAGAAAUUUUCAUAUAGAUUAUUGUCAAGUGACAAUAUCCAACAUGUCAAGUGUGACAUCUUCAAGUGUCUGGAUUGCAAAUUAAAUAAGUUUUACGCUUACCAAAAUGCAUCCUUUCAGGUCACUUGAUAAAUGUUUCUACGUCAGUUUGCUUAAAUAAACGUAGGAUUCAGAUCCUCGUAAUCUCUCACAAUAUUGAGUCAAUAUUGUAUCAAAGAUAUCAUCAAUGAUAUAUCGUUUUGUAUUGGUUCACAAUGUGACAUAACAUUUUGAGAGCUCAUCACUUCAUUAUUUUUAGGUAUCUGAACCUUUCAUAAGGUUUCAUGAAGUGUUAUGUCGUAGGCUCUUCAAGAGCACAUUGUCUUUUUAUAAUGAUUGUUUGCACCUUAUCAUUUUCAAGUAUUAUUUUAUUUGGAACCGAUUGAUCUACCACGCUUCAUCCAUGCAUAGAAUUUGUCUUUUAUAAACACAAAAUAGGAGUACUUGCAGCUUAAAUAUGAGAUGCUUUCGGCAUUUGACUUGAAUUAUCUUUUGAAUGAGGAUCUGGUGAUAAUUCCUAAUAUAUUUCAUAGACGCAUAUAAUCUCCCUCUUAUGUUAGAAAAAACUAACAUACAUCCUCCAUCUUCUUUGAGUAAUCCAUCUUUGUACAUCAUGAUAUAUUCAUUAAUCGUAUACCGCACAUCAAAAUUAUUAGAUGGAAUUGUUGGUUCCUGAGCUUGAACCAAUUAAGAGGGAAGAAAUUAUCAUAAUUUAUUGGUCUAAUGCAUACAAGUGCUAUUGUAUGCAACAUAUCAUAUUUCAGACCAACACAUGAAACUUUGUUCUCAUUAGUAAUGGUUUAGCUAUUUAUCGAAGGCAUUCAAUUCCAAACCAUCAUCAUCAAGAUGAAUUGUCUUGAUUACACAAUCUGAAAACUAUGUUCUUAACUCAAUUUUAUUGAACAAACAACUUUAUGAAUGUCAAACUACAGGUUGACAAUAAACGUACAAGUGAUCAUCUUAUAUCGAUGCAUCAUGCAUCUUAAUGACCACAUGACAAGUGAGCGAGCCCAUAUUCACCUUUUAUAUUUUCAAAUUUAAGGGAUCAAAUCCCAAUAUUAGUUGGUCCAACCAACUUAUCAUGAGAACAAACAACAUUAAAAGUGCACAUUAUCUAUCAAGACAUUCAAGGCGGGUGUUAUAAAUGUAUUUACAUUAUAGUAAAUAUCUAUCAAGAUUUAAUAAGAUCUAGUUGAUAUCUAUCCAGAUUUGAAAUAUCUGUCUUUUAGUCAGAAAUUAGGAGUAUUUUCCUUAUAAAUAAAGGUGUUUUGUUCAUUGUAUUUUCAAGAAUCUUAUGAUCUCUUAUCCCCCAAGAGAAAUAAACAAACCUCCUCUCUUCUCUCUCUAUUUAUUUUUGUUAUUCUUACUUUAUAUUUUAUAACACGUUAUCAACACAAGUCUCUAACCAAUUUAGUAAAAUUAUUUUCUUGUGAAAACCAAUAAGUCGUUCGCAGAAAACCUUGAGGCCAAAGGAUGAUAAUAAUGAUCAGACCAUUCCCAGGUAAGUAUAAUAUUGAAACACGAAAUUUAUGACUAUGGAAGUAACAUACUAAUGAUAAGAAUGACCCACAAUUACAUGCGGUCAUUGUUGUUAUUGUUUUAAGUAAUUUUUAAAUUGCUUUUAUACCUUAACAAUCAGGUUGUAAAUAAUAUUUCAUAUUUUCAAUAAUAAUUAAUUUGUUAACCAUAAGAAGUUAUUUGGGCAAACUUGCUAAAAGCUUAUAUAUUUUACAUUAUUGUAUAAAUAAUUUUUGAAUAUAUAUUUGGCUAUUAUAUUAUUGAUUGAGAUAAGAUGGUGGAUUUGAGUUUCAUCGUACCAAAAGAGUAAGACAUUGAAUUAGAGUUCUGUUGCAUUAUGAUUAGGUUCAAGUCCCAUCGGAUUAUGCCUAAGAUGCCUUUAAAUGGAUAAGACGUUGAGUAUGAAUCUCAAUGCAUCAUAUUGAUGAUAUUAUGAUGGCUAAGGCAAAAUAAUGAGUAUGUGGUGAAAAGUCGUGAAAUCUAACUUAUUGAAUAUGCUUCAUUCCAUGUAGCGAAUGUGGUAGCAAUAUGUGAUAAGUCUGAAAGAUGACAAUUUUUUCCAUUCUUAAAGUGAGUGUGGUAGCAGUGCAUAAUAUGUCUUAAAGAAGACACGUGAUUGAAUGCACGAAUAUACACGUAGAGGGAUAAUAUGAUAAUGAUCAUAAAAAGUGAUGAUAGUUUCACACACAUAUUAUGAUCAUAAGAUAUGUUGGAGAAAAAUUCUCUACGUCAUAUGUAUGCCUCGAUCUGCUCCUGAAAGAUCAAUAUCUUGAAAGAGGUUCUAAACUAUCAUAAUUUGAUAAUAGGCUUAAGGCACGAUUAUAUUUCAUUUCCAUAGAAUGAGAAGCUUAUUAAUGCAAACGUGCACUUGAUUGUGAUGGUAUCACAACUCACCUCCGAAAGGGGCUGAAUAACUGAGAAAAGUUAUUUUGAAAUCUACUUAUAAAAUAGUAAAUUUGAAAUUUUAUUCAUGUAAUAGUAAAUCUGAAAUUUACUAAAGAAAAAAGGUACAUGUCAUGGUAAACUUGGAGUUUACUAGUAUAAAAGUUCAUAAAUUGACAUGAACGAUUGCAACAUCCCAAAGAUGUGCAUACUGAGUAUGUAACAUAUAUUGAAGAAUUAAAAAAUUCUUCAUUACUUGUAAUGUUGCUUGUUCUCAUAAUAAGUUGGUUGGACCAACUGAUACUGGGGUUGGAUCCCUUAAAAGCUGAAAAGUAUAAAAGGUGAAUAUGGGCACGUUCACCAGUCAUGUGAUCUAUUAAAAUGCAUCAAUAUAAGAUGAUCGCAUGUGUAUUUAUUGUCAACCUGCAGUUUGACAUUCAUAAAGUUGCUUGCUCAAUAAAAUUGAGUUAAGAACAUAACUUUUAGAUUGUGCAAUCAAUACAAUUCAUCUUGAUGAUCAUGGUUUAGUAUUGAAUGCCUUCAAUAAAUAGUUAAACCAUUGAGAACAAAAGUUUCAUGUUUUGGUUUGAAAUAUUAUCUACAAAAGUACUUGUAUGCAUCAAACUAAUAAAUUAUGAUUAAUUUCCCCUCAAAGUUGGUUCUAAGUCAGGAUUUAAACGCUGUCCAUCUAAUAGUUAAUGUGCGGUAUAUGAUUAAUGAAUAUACCAUGAUGCACAAAGAUGGAUUCCUCAAAGAAGAAGGAGAUGUAAGUUUUUCUAACAUAAGGGGGAGAUUAUAAGCAGCUAAAAAAAUAUGUUAGGAAUUAUCAUCUGAUCCUCAUUCAAAAGAUAAUUCAAGUCAAAUGCCGAAAGUAUCUCAUAUUUAAACUGCAAGUGCUCCUAUUUUGUGUCCCUAAAGUACAAAGUCUCUACAUGCAUAAAGUGUGCUAGACUAAUCGGUUCCAAAUGAAAUAAUCGUUGAAAAAUAAGGAGCAAAUAAUCAUAAUAAGAAGGCAAUGUGCUCUUGAAGAGCCUAUGACAUAACACUUCAUGAAACCUUAUGAGAGGUUCAGGUACCUGAAAAUAAAGAAGUAAUGAGAUCUCAAAAUGUUAAGUCGCAUUGUGAACCGAUACAAAAUAAGAAAUCAUCGACGAUAUUUUUGAUACAAUACUGGCACAAUAUUGUAAAAAUUUACGAGGAUCUAAAUUUUACGUUAAUUUAAGCAUGCUGACAUAGAAACAUUUAUCAAGUGACAUGAAAGGAUGCAUGUUGGUAAGCAUAAAACUUAUUUGAUUUGCAGUCCAGACACUUGAAGAUGUCACACAUGAAAUGUUGAAUAUUAUCACUUGACAAAAUUUUUAUGAAAACUUUUUUAAGAAUUCAAAAUAUAAAAGUUUCUGGGAAACCGAUUGAUAAUCCUUAUAUUGUAUAAGUUUAUAGUUUGAAAAUUAUCGAAACUCUUGGAGAGUUUUCAAAGCAAUAGAUUAUUUGUUGAAAUGAGAAAUAUACCGAAUUAGAUUGGUUAUGAAGUACCAUAUCUUAGUGCAAGUGGUACACUCAUGUAUCUUGCAAAUACUACAAAGCCCGAUAUAGCCUUUCUAGUCAAUUUGUUAGCAAGAUAUAUUUCUGCUCCUACUAGGAGACAUCAAAAUGGGAUAAAACACAUGAGUUUAUUUUAUUCUAAAGAUUUCAGUCCCGAUCUUAUUGUUCAUGCUGAUAUUGGGUACUUAUCUGAACCCCAUAAAGCUCGGUCUCAAACAGACUAUGUGUUCAUAUGUGGUGGUAUUGCCAUAUCUUGGAGAUAUACCAAGCAGUCUAUCAUAGUCACUUCAUCGAAUCAUGCUGAGAUAAUAGUUAUUUAUGAAGUAAGCCGAAAAUGUGUAUGGUUGAGGUCCAUGAUACAUCUCAUUUGAGAAAAAUGUGGUGUGAAAUAUGGCAAUCCACCCACAAUUUUAUACAGAGAUAAUGCAGCAUACAUAGCACAUCUUAAGGGAGGAUUAAUAAAAGGAGAUAGAACGAAGCAUAUUCUGCCAAAGCUUUUCUACAUACAUAAGCUACAAAAAAAAUGGUGAUAUUAACGUGCAACAUAUCUGUUCAAGUAACAAUGCGGAUGAUUUAUUCACCAAACCUUCUCCAAUUGCAACUUUCAAGAAGAUGCUGCACAAGAUUGGGAUGCAAAGGCUCAAGGAUGUUCUCAUUAGGGGGAGUUGAUACGCGCUGUACUCUUUUUCCCUUACGAGGUUUUGUCCCACUGGAUUUUCCUUGUAAGGUUUUUAAUGGGGCAGCCUAUAUGCGUAUUGUUAGAGAUGUGUACUCUUUUUCCUUCACUAAAUUUUUUUUCUCACCGAGUUUUUUCUAGUAAUGUUUUAACGAGGCACAUUAUCUAUAUAGACAUUCAAGGGGGAGUGUUAUAAAUGUAUUUACAUUAUAGUGAAUGUAUAUCAAGAUCUAAAUAAGAUCUAUCAAGAUCUAGCUGAUAUCUAUCAGAAUUUUAAUAUCUGUUUUUUAGUCAGAAACUAGGAGUAUUUUUCACUAUAAAUAAAGGGAUUUUGUUCAUUAUAUUUUCAAGAAUCUUAUGAUCUCUUAUCCCUCAAAAGAAAUAAAGAAACCUCCUCUCUUCCCUCUCUAUUUAUUCUUGUUAUUCUUACUUUAUAUUUUAUAACACAUGGCGAGAAUUUGAAUUUAUUCUAUUUACUUGAAGAAGUAUUAAUUCAUUUUGUAUCUGUUUAUUCUUAUAAAUAGGAAAUACAUCGAAGAUGUAUUAAUUUAUGUUGUAUCUGUUUACUCUUAUACAUAGAAAAUAUAUAUAAAGCGAACAAAUACAUAGCGAACUGAUACACUAAAUUAUUAAUACGUUUGAUAAUUAGUCAAACUAUAGUUAUAAUUGAUAAUUAAAGUUCAAUUUAUCACUAUUUAUGGAAUUCCUUCUUUUAGAAAAGCUUUGCUUGUGUUUCAAAAUUUAAAAAGCACAUAUCAAGAUUAUUUUUUCUAAUGAAAACUAUUGUCUUGAAAAAAGUAAUUAUAAGCCACUUGGUAAGUGAAAACAAGUACUAUAUGAACAUGACUAAUUUAUGUUUCCGUUGCUUAGUGAGAAUUUUUUUAUAAGUAGAUGAUUUGUAUGGGAAUAGAAAUAAUCUUUUUCUUUAAAAGAAAAAAGAAACUUGAUGGAAGGAAUCGUUGUAAUCUAUUAAAAAUAAUCUGAGCCUAUUCUCAUUUAGACGUAUUUCAUGUGCUUGAAGUCGCACUAACACAAAGUAAUAUAUUUUUCUUUAAUUAAUGUGAUCGAUUAUGAUAUCCAUAAUCUUAUAAUGUUGAAUUCAUUUAAUUCAAAUGUCUUUCAGCCGAAGGGCCUUAAAGGAAUAUGAUUGAAGUGCAUUGUUUUUUUCUCCAUAAUUCAACUAAGCUCUCAUAUAGAUAUCCCAUCAAUUAUUUACAUAUAUAAUUCAAAUCCAACAGAUAAAACAAGUGAAAUGUGAGCCAAACUUUUCGAAACCUCAUCCAUUUGUCUCUAUGUUAACAUGAUCCAUGUUUGUUUGUUUGUUCACAUAUUAUGCUGCUUUGCCAAAUAGAAAAUUCCAACAUUUAUGCCAAAUCAAGUCUUUUUGUAACAAUUGCACAUGAAUGAAAGUAGUAAUCAAUAAUUAAUUGCCAAAUAUCACAAUCCUCUUCCAAAUUUAUCCUCAAAGAAAGAAAUAAAAAUAUCUGCUAAUGACAAAUUAAGGUCCUGUCAUUGAUAAUAGUUGUUAGGGGAAUUUAUACUAUAAUAAUAUACAUGGCCAACUGUCAUUUAAUUUCCAAAUUGACAUAGGAAAAUCCCAAUCUUCCCUUUUAUGCUAAAUUAUAAUGACACGUUUAAAAUUACAAAUUUCAAAUUCUUUUAAAAUUUGAUAUCAGAUUAAAUAGGAUAAUGUAAAAUAAAACGAAAGAAGUACAAGUUGGAUUGAUGGUGAGGAUCUGGAUUUGGUGCUACUAACUUUCAAGAAAGAGGAAAAAGAAAAAGAAAGAAAAUGGUUAGUGAUAUUCGAAAUUUGUUUUGUAAGGCUUAAAGGGGAAAAGAUUGGUGAAGUCAUUUUCAGAGUGCGAUAGGCCAACUAAGUGUAGUAACCUAAGUAUGAAUAAUGAACCAACUAAUUGAUAAGAGUGAUUUUAACUCUUUCAGAAUAAAUUCAUAUUCACUUUUGAGCAAUCAAUGAGUAACAUGCUCCUACACCCACCCACCAUCUUGCUCAAUCAAUAAAGUUAUUGAAAUGUAAUCAGAAGGUCAUGAGUUCGAGUUGAGGAAGCAGUCUAUCAUACAAUUUUUCACUCCGCUUAGCCUUAUCCCCCUCUAGGGGUAUUUUAGUGAUGAGUUCUAUAGGAACUGGACGCUCCUAUUUGAUCAAAUAACUCUUGUAGUCCGAUCCCUCCUCCAACCCCGCAUAUAGCGGGAACUUUAAUGUACGGGACCGCCUCAUUACACACUCUUGUUUUCUCCUAACAUUUUAAUUUCCAUUUCAUUAUACUACCUCCGUUUCAUUUUAGUUGACUCUCUUUCUAAAAAUAUUUUUUUUAAUUUAGUUGUUUCUUUGAUAAAAUUAAGAGGAUUUUAUUAUAUUCUUUCAAUACGACCCUCAAUAUUAAAUGACUAAACAAAAUGUAUUUACUCAAAUUUAUAUUUACAAAGUAUAAUUAAUAAAGCUAAUUUGAUAAAAAUAAAUCCCUAAUAGAUAUUUUCUUAGGAGGAGUGCUAAGCUAAAAAGGAUGAACUAUUUUGAAGUAAUCUUCUAAAGGGAAAGGUAAGACAAGAUAUUUUGCUUUUUCUUCAAUAAAUAGGUUCAAAACUACAAUCGAUGACCAGGUCCAGAAAGGAGUACACAAUUGGGCUUAUAUUCUUGCUUUUUGUUGAAUUUUCGCCGAUUGGUCCUUUUUAGAAUAAUUGGUCUUUUUAUUAUUCGCGCUUUGUAACUCAUGAACCUUUUGGAUCAUGAUUUAAAUAUCCCUUCCCUUCCGAACAAAUUGAAAGUUUUAUGGAAAACCUGUUUCAUAAUAAAUGAAUUGUUGGAUUUUAACAUACAUAUUAAGAAAAAAGCAUUAAAACAUAAAUUUAACAUAAUUUUUCAUUUUUACCCCAAAAAAAAAGAAAAAAAUUGACCUUGUAAUACCUUUUCAAAAGUUAAUUGGUUGUUAAAUCAUAAGGGCAAAUUUGGAAAAAAAAAAUCAAAGAUUCACUUAUUUUGAAACACCAAUAAAUACUCCAACAAUUCACUUAUUCCGAAACGGAGGGAGUAGAUCGUUGUAUAAAAUAUUAUUAUAGGUUAUCGCAAUUGCAAGACAACAUUCUAAUAUUUUAUCUGUAUGAUUGUGUAAUGCAUGACCAAACAUUAGUUCCGAGUCUGUACGAAAGGACAAUUUUCAAGGGCUAUACUUGUACGUGUUUAAUAAACUUUAAAAUUAUGGACUAAAUCUAUAUGGUGACCUAAAAAGGGAAAUAGGCCUUGAAUUUUAGGCCCAUAAAUAAGCCCCAAAAAAUCUUCUCCUCACAUUGACUGGGGAGUCUGCUCAAAGAAAAGCUCCAAUCUUCAUUUUGUAGGCUCAAUAAGGCUGUCAAGUGGGCCGGGUUGGGGUUAAGUAGGCCGGGUCAAUCCGGGCUCAACAGUAAAAUUUAUAAAAAUAACCAUAACCUGGCCCACUUAACUCAAUCCAGUCAAACCCAUCUAAACUCGGUCAAACCCGAUUAAAAAAUCGAUCAAAAUAUUAAAAAAACUUAUUUUCAAUAUACAGUAUAUAUACCCACUUAUAUACAUUAUAAAUACAUUAAACAAUACAUAUACACUAUAUAUAUAAUAUAUACUACAUUAGAAUUUUAAAAGUAUAUACACAUAUAUACGCACCAUUCAAUAUAUAUGUACUACUUUAAAGUUUAAAUAAAAUAUACUACAAUAUAUAUAUAUAUAUAUAUAUAUNNNNNNNNNNNNNNNNNNNNNNNNNNNNNNNNNNNNNNNNNNNNNNNNNNNNNNNNNNNNNNNNNNNNNNNNNNNNNNNNNNNNNNNNNNNNNNNNNNNNNNNNNNNNNNNNNNNNNNNNNNNNNNNNNNNNNNNNNNNNNNNNNNNNNNNNNNNNNNNNNNNNNNNNNNNNNNNNNNNNNNNNNNNNNNNNNNNNNNNNNNNNNNNNNNNNNNNNNNNNNNNNNNNNNNNNNNNNNNNNNNNNNUAUAUAGUUAUAUACUAAUUUAUAAAAUAUAUACACAUGUAUACGUUAAAUAUACACGUCUAUGGAAGAUACAAACAUAUAUAUACGCACCAUUCAAUGUAUGUGUACUGCUUUAAAUAAAAUAUACUACAAUAUAUAUAUAUACAUUACAAUAUAUAUAGUUAUAUACUAAUUUAUAAAAUAUAUACACAUGUAUACGCACCAUUCAAUGUAUGUGUACUGCUUUAAAUAAAAUAUACUACAAUAUAUAUAUACACAUUACAAUAUAUAUAUAGUUAUAUAGUUAUAUACUAAUUUAUAAAAUAUAUACACAUGUAUACGCACCAUUCAAUGUAUGUGUACUACUUUAAUAAAAUAUNNNNNNNNNNNNNNNNNNNNNNNNNNNNNNNNNNNNNNNNNNNNNNNNNNNNNNNNNNNNNNNNNNNNNNNNNNNNNNNNNNNNNNNNNNNNNNNNNNNNNNNNNNNNNNNNNNNNNNNNNNNNNNNNNNNNNNNNNNNNNNNNNNNNNNNNNNNNNNNNNNNNNNNNNNNNNNNNNNNNNNNNNNNNNNNNNNNNNNNNNNNNNNNNNNNNNNNNNNNNNNNNNNNNNNNNNNNNNNNNNNNNNNNNNNNNNNNNNNNNNNNNNNNNNNNNNNNNNNNNNNNNNNNNNNNNNNNNNNNNNNNNNNNNNNNNNNNNNNNNNNNNNNNNNNNNNNNNNNNNNNNNNNNNNNNNNNNNNNNNNNNNNNNNNNNNNNNNNNNNNNNNNNNGGAGUGAAUGAAUUUGGGGAAUUUUAUUGAUUGCAAAAUAAAAAAUUUAUAAUUUACAUGAAUGAAAAAUCUACAAACUAUGCAUCAUUUUUUUCAACUCAUUCAUGUUAAUAUUAACGGGAACUUGCAUAGGAUAGUCGAAGUCAACGGGGGCAAAACUAUGCAUUGGAUUUGAUUCUGCUGAGUUCUCCCGUGAAUACAUAAUUUCUUCAAGUUUCAGCUCGUCGUUCAACUUCGGUUCCAUUCCUUGGUUUCUUCUUUCCGCUCUAAUCCAAUUUUCGAGGCAAACUAGAACAUUCAUUGCAUUGCUUCCCAAUGAGUGUCGGUUGUCUCCAAGCUGUUGUUGUCUCUGACUAAAGGCGCUUUCUGAUGCAACAGUUGACAUUGGAACAUUCAAGAUAUCUCUAGCUAAUCUUGAAAGCACAGGAUAUUGUGUUUCAUUACUCCUCCACCAAUCUAACGUGUUGAUCCGUCGUCUGCGAUCCUCUGGCGGCGAUUGAAAAUAAUAGUUCACCUUUUCCCGAUAAGUUGAUGUGUAAACUCUCUCGUCAACACUGUUCCAACAAGGUAAAUCAUAAAAGGAAUCUGGAAAACCACUAUGAGCAUCACUUAUAUGUCUCAUUAACGUACCCGCACCCCCUUGCUUGCCUCCGCUUUUAUGCUUAUAUAUUUGUUGACAAAUAUUACAUUGCACCUCAGUAUCUAAUAUGCAUUCAAAAAAUUGUCAUGCAAUACUAGUUGUUUUACGAGGUCUUGGGUCUUGGGGAGGACGGGAAGGGAGAUUAACCGAUUUAGAUCUAACGUUAGCAUUUCCUAUAAUGGGUGUCUCACCAAUAUUUUCAUCAUCUUCGUCUAAAUUAACCGCAUCUACUUCAUUUUCUUCUUUUAUACCAUGAGAAAUUAGUUAAAUGAAGGAUUAACCGAGGAUGAUGAGAAAAGCAUAUCGCGUUUCAUUUCUGAACCAUAACUGUCACAGCUUUUGGACCAAAAUUAUUUCUGCUUCAACAGAAAUUUUAUCCUUUUCAUCACCGUACAUUCUGCCCCGGCAUUGCACAUCUAGCACAUGGAGAAGACAGCCAACAGAUCAACUAUUAAGAAGUUGAGGACUAAAUAACUUACAGACAUUUUUCCGAAAAUAAUGGAGAAAUCCAACGACAGGAGUGUAAAGUUCAAAAGCUUCUUUAUAUGAUACAACAACAUCAUACCCAGUGUAUUCCCACCUAGUGCUUUAUAUGAUACAAAUUGGAUCAAAAACAGACUACAUAACAGUGCUUGUUUUCAACUCAUCAUUCGCUAAAAACGUAUGUUUCAGAGAGUAAUGUAUAUGCACAAACAUUUGACCACGAAAAGUGUUCUUUAGUAUUAUCUUGAUUUGGCCAGGACAAUGUGGUAGGAGAGAAGGACAUACGGCAAAUUUCACAAUCAUUGCUGCUUCGAGAGAGAUUGAUAGCAGGAAUCAUACUCGUCAUUGCAGCUUUGUGUCAUUACAUAAUAGUUAUCUUAUCUGGGAAAACUAUUUACAAGGAAGUGUUGAUCUACUGCACAAAUCUAUAAUAACUGGUCCGAUGUAAGAUGAUCCAUCUCAGUUCAUGAAACUCAUCAUUCAUCGCAGUGACCUGCUGGAACAGGAGAAAGCAAUUUAAGAUGCUGACCUAAUCCGUCUACCAUCUGAUAAAUUUUGUCUGAUUUGACGUGAGAUUUAUCCAUCACCGUGAAUUCAUGGUAUUCAUCAUUCAAUUGUAACAAGCUAGCACCAGAUUGCUUUGGCCUGCCAAUGCUCUUCAUCAUCAACCUUAUGUUGGCGACAUUAUCCCAGUCUCCUGCUGAAGCAUAAAUAUUUGACAAUGCGGAAAGUUUUCCAGCAUUUUUAGGUUCUAACUUGACUAGGAGGUCACGCACGUCAUCUGCAAGUUCAAUGGCUUUAUGCAUCCUGCAAGCCCCUAAAAGAGAACCCCAAAUUUUAACGUUAGGUUCAAGUGGCAUCUUUCGUGCAAGUUCAAAAGCUUCUCUAACAUAGCCACCACGGCCUAAAAGAUCAAUAAGACAACCAUAAUGUUCUACUUCAGGUAUUACCCCAUAAUCUUUCUCCAUGGAGUAGAAAUAAAUUAUUCCCUCGUCCACCAAACCAGUAUGAUUGCACGCACACAAAAUACCAACUAACGUCACCUUAUCAGGCACAAAGCCUUCUUGUUUCAUCUUAACGAAAAGCUCAAGUGCCUUCUUUCCACGUCCAUGCAUAGCCAACCCAUGUAUCAUAGCAUUCCAAGAUACCAAGUCUCUUUUUUUCAGCCCGUUAAAGACUUUAUAAGCCUUAUGCAAACUUCCACACUUGGCGUACAUAUCAAUCAACGCAUUACAGACCAAAGUAUUACACUUGUACAUACUCCUCUCGACGGUAUCAUGCACUCUCACACCCAAACUAAGCAUACCCGAUUCAGCACAGGCAGCUAGAAUGCUAACAAAAGCUGCAACAUCAAGCCUCAAACCCGUCUCCUCCAUUUGCACGUACAACUCAAUUGCCUCAUUUACAAGACCCUUUUCAGCAUAUCCUGAAAUCAUUAUCGUCCAAGAGAUCAAAUUCUUGGAAGGCAUUUUAUCAAACAACAUCCGCGCCAUCUCCAAAUCCCCCGCUUUGCAAUAACCCGAAACCAUAGUGGACCAAGAGACGACAUCCCUCUGUGGCAUAUUCUUAAACAAUUCAAACGCCACACUCAUUUGCUCCGCCUUUGUAUAUCCAUCUAACAUAGUAUUCCAACUAACCCUAUCUCUUUCGGGCAUUUCAUCAAACACCUUCCGCGCUUCACUCAAAUCCCCCGCUUUCAGCAAAGCACCAACCAUGGAAUUCCAAGAAACAACAUCCCUCUCCUUCAUCCCCCGAAACAACUUCCCUGCAGCUCGAACACCCACCACCCCACACUUGGAAUACGCAUCAAUCAACGAAUUAGGCACAUAAAUAUCAUCCACAAAACCCCAUUUCACAACAUGUGUAUGAAUCAUACUCACUAAACUCAACCAACACUUCCCCGAACAACCCUUUAACAGAAACGAAAACGUAAAAUUAUCAGGAAAAAUACCAGCACACUGCAUAUUCAAGAAAGUCUCAAAACCCUUCAAUGCCUGAAAAUUACAAACAUAAGCUCUUAUCAAAGCAUUAUACAAGCGCACAUUGGAAUUAGACUCCCCCGCUUGUUCAAAAACCUUUAACGCAGAACCGAUUUGUCUACAAUUAGAGAAAGCAGAGAUUAACUUAGGAGCAAUAAAAGGGUCUUGUUGAAGAUGGGAUUUGUAUACUAAUGUCUGCAUUUGUUUGAGUUGGUUAAUGUCUUUGCAUUUGUCUAAGUCCCAUAAUUUCUGCUCGAAGUGUCUUCGUCUUGACACCCAUGUAGGUGCUCGAAUUGGUGUUGGCAUUUGCAUUUUGAAAAAUCGGAAUUUGGUGUUUGAUGGACUAAAAAGUUUAGUGGAAGUGUAAAUGAAUGUUCAGGGAACUGGCGCUUGUCGGGGAUAAGGUUGUAAGGACCCGUUUGAUAGUUCAUAAUCCCUGAAUUAAAUGCUGGAAUUUUUUAAUACAUUGUUUGUUAGUAAUUUUUAUGCUACGUAUAACUAAUACAUGGAUUAGUUAUACAUCGUAUAUGGUAUUAUAGAGUGUAUAAUUAAUACACUUAGGGGUAUUUGGCAGAGUGUAUUGAAAUAUUAAUACAUGCAUUAGUUUAAUGUGUAUUAAUAGUACAUUGUUUGAUAUACCUUUUUAUCCUAUGUAUAAUUAAUGCAAACAUUAAUUAUACACUCUAUUGUGUAUUGAGGUAUGUAUUAUUAAUAUCUCAAAAUUCAUGACAUUAGUAAUGCAAUGGAUCUAAUGCAUGCAUUAACAAGCUUAAAGACAUUAUUACCCCUCAAAAAAAUUUUCUCAUCCUUUCCAACAUAUAUAUUGAGUGUAUUAUGUAAAAAAUUUUUUUUUUUUAAAUCAUGUAAUUCAUAUUUUUUUUAAUACAUUGAACCAAACACUGCAUAAAAAAAAUACAAGCAUUACUAAUACACUAUAUUUUGCAUUAUUCUUAUACAAAUGCUAGAGUCGUUUGGUAGAGUGUAUAAGAUCAAUAUAAAAUAUGGUGUAUUAGUAAUGUUUGUAUUACUUAUACUUGCAUUAGUUAUGCAUGUAUUAUUUUUUAUACAUUGUUUGAUUUGAUGUAUAAGAAAUAAUACAUCUUACAUAAUUUCUAUAAAAGAAAUGUUUGUUAACAAAAAUACCCUUCUUUGAUUUUGUACACUUUUUUGCAAUAAUUUUGUUUUUUCAUAUCAAAUAUAAUUAGUAUUGUUGAACUAGUAUAUAGAGGUUUCAAAUUAAUUGCAACACCUUCGGCUUUGCACAUAAAAUAUUAUGCCAACGAAUUAACAUAGUUGAAACAAAAAUAAAAUAUAAGAUGUAAAGUUAAGAAAUAGUCUCAUUUUUUUUUUAUCUUUUUAAAGUUCUCAAAGCAAAGCAAAAAUAUGUUACAAUUAUUUAAAUCAAUUAUUCAUUGUUGUAGAUUAAAAUGGUGAAAAAAAUUGUGAACUGUUUUGAAAAGAUUCACUAUUGCAAAUUAAAAUGGCGGGAAAAGGAAUAGUGAAAUAUUUUGAGAGGAAAAUUGAGAGGUAUUAAGAUCAUUUAAUAAGUUAAUGCACGUAUUAAAGACUUUGCAUUACUAAGACAUAGAAAAUGGGUGGUAUUAGUAAUACACACCUUAAUACACAAUAGAGUGUAUAACUAAUGCUUGCAUUAGUUAUACAUUGACUAAAAAUUAUACCAAACAAGGUAUUCAUAAUACAUAUUAAUUAAUACAUGCAUUAUUUUUGUCAAUACACUCUACCAAAAGACCCCUUCAUUUGAUGGGAUUAGUAAUCCAUAGAUUACAAUCCUGACAAAUAUGUAUCAAGAUAAAAACGCCCUCAAAUUUCUUUAAUUUUUUUCUAAAUCUUUUCAAUUUAUUCAAUGUGAGUUAUUUCUUUUCAAUUUAUCAAUAUAAUAAUAUCCCUCCAAAUAAUUUUAGUCAUAAAAAAACUAUUCCAUUAACUUAAAAAUACUUAUUGAUCAAAAUCCGAAAAUAAAUUGCAUGAUUGCAUACAAGAUUUAAUUUUGUAAAUAGGAUAUUUAUAAAUAAAAAUAAUUUUUCAAAUUAGGUUUAACACUUAUGGAACACAAAUUUAUGUUAAUAAUAAUUCUAUUGUCUCAUACAAAAGUUACACGUAUCUCCCUUCAAUAUAAUAACAUCACAAAGUGGAAACAACAAAAAAAUGAUGAACAAUUUUAUUCCUUUUUUUAUAUAAAAAAAUUGUAAGUGAAUGAUUAAAUCUUAAAAUUCCAAAGUAUAUAAUUAGUUAUAUUUUUACUUUUUUUUUUAAAAAAAAAAAAGAAUAAUAAAAUUUUACAAAAAAAAAUACACAAAGUUAUAAUAUGUCAAAGGAUAUUUUUGUAAACAAACAAUAUUCUUUUUAAAAUAUAACAAUACAUAUUAUUUUUAAUACAUCAAAUCAAACUCUGUAUAAAAAUAAUUCUAGUAUUAAUAAUCUCUGUAUUACUAAUUCCUGCACUACUAAUCUCAACAUUACUAAUACAACUUAUUUAGUAUUAUCUUAUACACUAUACCAAACGACCCCUAAGAGAAAUAUCUUAACGUCUAAGGAGAAAUAAAGUAUAUUUGGGUUUACCAAAAAAAAAAAAAAAAGUAUCUUUGGGCUUUUUCCCCUCAUAAGUACUAUUCCCUCCGUUCUAAAUUACCCGUUUCAAAUUUUCUAAUUUCAUUUCUCAUUUUACUUAUAUUCUUUCAUUAAUCAGGACAAGACAAUUUUUUUCUCCUUAUAUCCUUAGUUAUUAAUUACUCCUUGUUACUAGCAUUGAAUUAUCAAAUCUUGAAAAAUGUUGUAAAGACAUUGGUAAUCCUAUAAUCUUAAUUAUCCAUGCAAAAAGUAUUUUGAUAUAAACCAUAUAAUUCUUCAUUAAUAUUGAAACUAACAGCAUGACAAAAUUAAUAAGGGUAAAAUGAUAAAAUUAUAUUAUCAAUCAUUAUUUUCUUAAUAGUUAUGUCAUCUUAAUUUGAUAUGGAUAAUUUGGAACGGACAAAGUAUUUUCUUCACAAAUUUUAAAUUUUCAUAAAUAAUAAGUAAUCAUCUGUCAGGAUUUACUUGGCAAGAGGAUUUAAGUAGACAACUAAAGUUAAAAAUUAUAUUUACGUUUAUAUAAAUUCAUUGAAAAUCUGAAACAAUGGUGAAUAUUACUGCUAUAUAGAAGUGUGAGUGAGCAACCAGCGUAAGGACACAACUAGCAAUUAUCAUGUCUACUUUCAGUUGUCUAUUUGUUCUGUGAUUUUACUGUAGCAUUUUUAAUUAAUUAUUAUAUGUUAUUUAUGUAUUAAAAAAUUAAUAAUAUUUUAAAAAAUUAAAUAUUUAUCACAUUUUUUAUUUUAGCUGCUUCAAUCGUAAUUUUAUUAUAUCACUCCUACCACGAGCCUCUCGAUAUCUAAUCUAUUAAUAAUUACAAAGAUAUGUUAUUUAUCGGUGCAGGGAUAUCUCAGAAUCUCAUUUAAAAAUUAUGAUUUGUCCAUUUGAUAAGAUUGCAUAAGAAUGGUGUUUUUUUUUUUAUAUAUAGUUUUCAUAAUUUUUUUAUGCUUGUGAGAAAAAUAUACUUUAAGAAAUUCAUAUUGUAUAUCUAGAAAAAAAAAAUUCAACUUCAAAUUAAUUUGAUCCGAACUAAAGUCUAAACGACGCAAUAAUAUAGGGUGAUAUUACAUGAUAAGAAUAAUUUUAUCAUAUUACAAUUUAACAAAUUCAGUGCAAAAAAAUUGCUAGAGAUAGGAAUUGAAACUGGGCGACUGGAGUGACUCAGCACACUCUUAACUAUUGGAUAGUUGCUGCCUUCCAUUGCCAUAUUACAAUUUGAAUAGAGAAAAUGGCCAAAAGAUCAUUCAAGCUUUACCUCAAAUCUCAACUACACACUUAAUCUUCACGGGAGUCCUAUCACCCCCCUGAUCUAUUUUUUCAUGUAUUUAUUACCUCCCUAAAUGUUGAGCUGACAACAUAAACCAAUUCAUAAUCCCUUCGUAUUUACACCCGCGGAUCCCACGUCUUCCAGGUCAUCUCCCUCCUAAAACCUAAAUGGACCCAUUAUCACCCGUUCAACUUUCUCUCUCUUCUCUCCUCUCUCUUCCUUUCUUCCCUUGACGAAUUUUUUCUCACUUUUACAUACGAAUUUAGCCUUUUUAGUUUGUGAAUCUUAUGUUACUGAUAAAGUUUGUGGAUUUUCGAAGAUCAAGUCAUCGAUUGCAGCAUUAACUUAGUAGAGGUUGUCAUUUCCCCCCUAAACUAUUGUCAUUAUUAAUUAUGGGUUGCCCUAAGCAUAUGGUGACUGCUUAGGAUGUGCAAAAUAAGUUGUGUUUCUUGCUAAAAAAGUUGUCUAACUUUUUAAUUAACAACAUAUUAAAUUCUUAAGGACAUCUCUACUUAGGGUUUUUGUUAAUGUUUUAAUGAGUUCAUUAAAAAAUAGGUUUUUUUUUAGAAUUUACUGUUAAUCUGAAAAAUAAAGCAAUAAAUUGUGUGUGGUAGUAUGUGCAUGUAACUAUUUUGUUGUUUAGGUGUUCAAUUUGUACCGAAGUAGAACAAUUUUCAUGUAAUCAAUUCUUAUCUUUCUCAUCUUAGUCGCAUAAUGUGAUAGAGACUAAUGUGAUAUAAAUUUGUGUUUUUUCUUCAUUGUUUAAGCAUGAUGUAGUUAUAUUAAAGUUUGUUCAUGCUUGAUUUUUGAUAAUAUAUCUGCUAUGUUUCUUUGUCUUAUUUGAGUGUUUAUUUUCAUCAGGUCAAACAUGAGUGAUUUUACUUUGAUUAUUCUAAGAUGGUAUCAUGGUGGAGUGUUAGAUUUAAGUACUGGAGAACCAGUUUACAAAGGUGAAAAAAUUACAGAAUUCUUAGAUGUUGAUGUUGACAAGAUAUCAUAUUUUGAAUUGAGAGACUAUCAAAGAAAUUUAGGAUAUAGCACAACAUGUACCUUUCGUAUUAAACCACCUAAUAGUGGCAUUUUGGUAGAUGUGGACAAUGAUAUCGAUAUUUUUGAAAUGAUGUGUUCCUUGAAAAAUGGAGAUGAAGUAGAUGUAUUUGUCAAGUAUUUAGUGGAUGAACCAAUUGUUGUGGACCCCCCAAAAUUCUUAGAAAAUGGAAGUCUUGAGAAUAUGGAGGAAUCUGGUGCAUCUUUUAAUAAUAGGCCUAAAUUUAUGGUAGGUGAGGAUCAUAUAAAUGAGGAGAACCUUUUUACUUCUUUUUCAACUUCACCCCUUUGCAUUACCACACCUCAUUUUAUAGUGCUACUGCAUAUAGUGCUUCAGCACCUAUUAUUGCACCUAGUAUGCCUACAUCUACUGUUGCACCUAGUGUUGCUACAUCUACUGCUGCUCCACCUAGUGCUGCUGUAGUUAGUGUUGCUUCACCCAGUGCUGCUGCAUCUAGUGUUGCUGCAGGCAGUGCUGCUGCAGUUGAUGAUAUAGAUGAUGGUCCUGCUGGAAGUGAUUUCUCAGAAGAAGAAGUAGAGGGUUCUGAUUACUCUACUAAGGAUAAUGCUGAAUUAGAAGAAGAAUUAGUUUGAGAUGAUGAUGACGAUGAAAAGUGUGGUAGUAAUGUACAUGAGGAGGUUAGGGAGUUGAGAGCUGAAAAGAGGAAGUUUUAAAGGAGAAAAAGAAAAGAGAGAGUACCAGCUGACAAUGCAGAGGUACCAGUAGGUGAAGCAGGACCAGAUCUAGGGUUUCAUGACACUGAAACAGGUAAAGUAAGUCAUGAAGGAAGGUUGGGUGGUGAUGAGCCUUACUUUGCAAGUUCUGAUGAGGAUAGUUUUGAGUUAGAUAAAGAUGAUUAUUGUGGUGAUGAAGAACAUGAUGCUCUUGCAUCUGGUUGGACAAGAUCUGUUAAGUUGUCAGGGACAAAAAAGGCUAACAUCCCAGAAAAUCAUUCAUGACCCAACCGCAAAGGAAGUUGUUUGGCAGUUGGAUAUGGUGUUUAAAGAUGUGAAUGAAUUUAGAAGAGCUGUGACUAAAUAUGCAGUAAAAAAGAGGGUUGUUGUGGAGAAGUGGGUAAAUGAAUCAAAAAAGGUUAGAGUCAAAUGCAAGGAUGAUUGUCCAUGGCUUUUGUAUGCAGGUCUUGACAAUACCAUAAAUGACUUCAUCAUAAAAACUUACAUUCCAAAACACACUUGCAACAAGACAACCAAAAAUUAUUUGUGCAAUGCAAAAUUUUUAGCUGAAACCUUUAGAGAGAGAAUAAUUGAGCAGUCAAAUAUAAGGAUAUUCAAUCUGCAAGAGUUGAUAAGGAAAAAAUUCAAACUGCAUAUUGGUAAGACUACUGUGAGAAGAGCAAUAACUAAAGUGUUGAAAGAUAUCAUGGGUGAUCAUGUUGUAGAAUUUGGAAGAAUUCUUGACUACAAGGAUGAGCCGCUGAGGACAAAUCUAGGGACAAGUUGUGUUGUUAAACUUGGUGAGGCUAAUGAAGAAGGUAAACCAAAAUUUCUGAGUUUCUACAUCUGUUUUAAUGCUUUGAAGAAGACAUGGGUACAUUGUAAGAAGUGUAUAGGUUUAGACGAUUAUUUUCUUAAAGGAAUUUGUAAAGAGCAAUUGUUAGUUGCUGUUGGAAAAGAUGGUAAUAACUAGAUGUUGCCACUUGCUUGGGCAGUAGUUGAAAAGGAAAACACAAACAUAUGGAGUUGGUUUGUUAAGCGCAUAAAAGAUGACCUAGGACUUGGAGAAGAAGAAGGUCUCACAUUGAUUACAGAUAUGCAGAAGGUAUGUAUUCUGUACUAUGUGUACUUAUUUUUCUAGUUUAGCCAAAUAAAUGUAAUUAUGUAGUAAUUUUACUGCAAUUGAACAGGUGUUACCUCAAUCUGAGAAUAGAAGAUAUGCAAGACACAUCUUAGCUAAUUGGGCUAAGGAAUGAAGAGGUCUUCAAAGAAGACAACAAUGUUGGAGGAUAGCCAAAAGUACAUUUGAGUCUCAAUUGAGGAAAAACAUACAAAAGAUGAAGUUGCUUGGUCCUACAAAAAUGAUUGAUCACUUAAUGUACUUCAACAUUAAUUACUGGUGCAAGUUUUACUUCAACACUGAAGUGAAAUGUGAUUUUGUGCAUAAUAACAUGUCAGAGUGUUUUAAUGCAUGGAUCUUACCAGCUAGGCACAAAACCAUCAUUACCAUGCUUGAAGAAGUCAGAGUAAAGCUGAUGACAAGAAUAAGCACUUUAAGGGCGUUUCCAAAUACUUGAAAGUCCAAUUACUCUCUAAUGUGUUUAAAGAUUUUAGAGGAAAACAUCAAUAGGUCUAUGGAUUGUACCAUUUAGUUUAAUGGAGUUGCUAGUUUUGAAGUGAAAGAAGGACUUUGUCAACACAAAGUUGAUAUUGUCAAGAGAACUUGUAGUUGUAGGGUAUGGCAGUUAAAGGGCAUACCAUGUGCACAUGGUGUGGCUGCAAUAUUGUUCAACAAGUACUCUCCGUAUGAAUAUAUUGACAGGUGCCACAGUAAGGAAACAUAUUUGCAGACUUAUGCCAAUGUUCUUCAACCACUUACAAACAUGAAAAUGUGGCCAGUUUCUUAAAAUAUUGAUGUUGCACCACCUGAAAUCACAACCUUGUCUGGCAGGCUAGCUAAGAAUAAGAAGAAGGAAGUUGGGGAAACAAACAAGUCAAGAAAAUUGCCUAGAAUUGAACUAGCAAUGACAUGUAGUGUGUGUUAUAUUAGAGGCCACAACAAAAGGGGUUGUCCUCACAGAGCACCAUCAGCAGAACCAACUGCACCAGUAGUAGCAACAGCUACUGGUUCAAGCAGGGGAACUAAUUUUUUCACUUGAAUUCAUUAUGUUAUACCAGUAUUCUAAUUGUUAACAAUCUUUUUUAAUAUGUAGAAAACUCCAACAGAAGCAACUAAGGCUGCUCCUCAAGGAAAAAAGGAUGGUUCAGGCAGGGGAAGAGGAAGACCAAAGGUAAUUUUUUCACAUGAAUUCAUUAUGUUAUAACACUACUCUAAUUGUUAACAUUUUUUUAUAUAUAGAAAACUCCACCAGAAGCACCUAAUGUUGCUCCUCAAGGAAAAAAGUAAUGGUUCAGGCAGGAGAAGAGGCAGACCAAAGGUAUAUUAUGAUUGAAUUUAGUUCUAAUUUUCUCAAUUCAUAACAUUCUUUUUAUAUUUAUAGAUAAUUUCAUUAGAAGCCAUUACUGAACCUCCACAAGCAAAAAAAGAAAGAGGAAGACCCAAAAGAACAAUUUCAGUAGGUGCUACUUCAACUCCUCUACCUACAGCACCUCCAGUACCUAUUAUUUUUCCAGCAUCCUCUUCUGCACCUCCUGAUUUUUGUACAUCAUCUUCAAUAGAUGAAACUACAAAAAGAGGAAUGGGUAGUGGUAGGGGAAACACUACUUCGUUCAAAAGGCAAAGAGUAGCAGGAAUAGGUGUGUUUCAAGCUGAAAAUGACUUUAAAGUCCUAAAUGUAAGUCUCUUACUUUGUUAUAUCAUUUGUAAAUUAUAAGUCAUUGAUAUAUGUUGAUUCUUAAGCUUUUUUAUCCUUUUCUGUAGCCUGACAUGCCUAGCAGUAAGAUAUACUCUACUAGUCAAGUAAAGGUGGCAAGAUAAGCUGAUGUAACUGGUGACAUUGGUUAUACACCAAGUAGUAUCAGAAAAUUAAAAUGGAACGGCAAAUCAACAAUUUUAACAAGAAAACUACAAGAACUUAAAGAGAAUAGAAGAAAGAAGAAAGUGGGAAGUAGUUCAAAUCAUCCAAGUCAAAAUACUGCUUCUUCACAGUCCAACAUGCCAUGAAAAUUGUAGUGCUAUUGAUGUAUUUUAAUCACUGUUUUAAGUUAGUUCAGUUGACAUAAAAACAAUUUUAUUUCAGUGUUGAAAAAUAAUUUAAACACUGUAUUUUGUUGACUAAUGUUGCCUAAUGGUUAGGCAUUAUGAAUGUGAAUAUAUUUUGGUAUGAAUGAUGAUGUGUGAAGUUGGAAUGUUUUGUUGAUGAAUGUUGUCAUUAGGCAUUAUUGUUGUGUUGUUUAAAUGGUGGUGAUGUUGCUAUAAUGUUAACACAACAUUACCAUUGCACUAUCUAAGUGUAAAGAAAAACAUAGCAUUAGAACAAUGCUUUGCCUAAACAACAUUAUCAUUACACCAGUUUGUACGUUUAAAUGACAGCAACACAAUACACAACUUUGCAAGUGUAAACAAUAACAUUGCAACAACACAAGACACAACAAGUGUAAACAAUAACAUAGCAGCAAUACAGGACACAAUUUUGUAACUGUAAACCACAACAUAGCAAUACAAGACACGAUUUUGUAAGUGCAAACAAUAACAUAGCAGCAACACAACAAACAUCAGAAGUACAACUACGCAAAAACAAACAUAUGGAGUACGACUAGGCAAAAGACAACAUAACAUAACAUAAUCUGAUAUAUUUAGAGAGAGGGAUACAAAAUUUACACCAUAUUAGACCAUAUCUAGCAACUACUUUCAGUUCAUUUGCUGUUGAUGAACAUAACAACAAUAAAAAUCAAAAUACAUAAAAAAAUCUUCCUAUUGAACCUACACCAUCUCCAUCUUCCAUUGCGCCUCUUCUCCCACGUCAAGUUAUCAAUUUGGACCUGUUUAAGCCAUAAGUCUUCUUCCAACUCAUUGAUUUUGUUCACCAAUCUUGAAAUGAUAAAAUUUGAUCUUGGAUCCACUUUUUCUUUGUCCCUCCAUAGAAAAAAUUACAUUUUUGAGACUGAAAUUUUUUGUAGAAAUUAGUACAUUAGCAUAAUUUGAAUAUAAAGUAACAGCAAAAUACAAUGCAAAAUACAUACACCAUAGUUGGGGUAAGACCAAAAUCUUCUUCCCAGAUUAGACUUCUACCAUGAAGUUUGCAAGUCAAGCAAGAUACCAUGUUUGCAUCUCACAACAGCAUUGAACAUUGAGUCUGAUUCGUUCAUACAAAGCUUAUUCAAUUUUGAAUUUGUCAUUUCAUGAAUUCCGACAAAAUCUAUCAUCAAAUUACAAACACUAAAUUAAGAGUUGAACAAAAUUACAAAACAAAGCUCCAAGAAUUCAAGUAGAAAAUGAGAUUGAAAUUUAAAACGUAGGUUAAAGAAAUAAAAAAAUGGAGCAAGAUGAAG